UAUUAUAAGCUCCAUAAUAUUGUGUUCUCAAUGUUAUAAACUCUAGAUUUAGUAAAUAUGGUUUCAUUAGAGUAAAAAGGAGGUGAUUAUCAUUAUUAUUAUUAUUAUUAUUAUUAUUAACAUCUAGUAGGAAAUGUUAAGUUUAAUGAAGGGAGCAUGGGCUAGGAGGAACCCAAAAUAUACCCCCAAAACUUAACCUAUUAAGCCGGUUGCGAAAUUCUUCUGCUUUCAGCUGCAAUAAUUUCUAGUACUUUUGGCAAAGAGAAAAUGUCUAAAUUAAACUUCUAUAUAGUAGGAAACAAAAAUAAAAGUUUGAGCCUCAAAAGUAAAAAAAAAAAAAAGAGAUUCUGAUUUAGUGCUUCUGAUUCUGCUGUAGAAGAAGUUGUCGGAUGUAUUUUAGUAUAGUUCUUUUUCUAAUACAAUUACUCAGACAACACUUCAUCAAACAAUACAAUACUUUGCAAAAAUGCGAAAUAAGCCCUUAAUUAAUUACAUCAAAUUUAUAUAUUUUAUCCCCACCAUAUCAAAACAUCCUAAAGACAUUCUUGGGUGUUCCAAGCUUUAUUUGGUUAAGAAAUUGUAAAGGGUCUCUUACUUUUAUGCAUUGGGAUUGGGGAUCUCAUUUUUAAGUUUGGGAUCAGACUCUAAAUACACACUGAUGAUAAUCAUCUUGGGUGGCUACAGAUUCUGCUGGAUUUGUUGAAUCAUGGACUACACACUCCCCACAGUUGUAGGUGGAACCUGCACCACAAUAUAAGGUUAUUAUGGUGUUUUCAUAUCUGAUUAGCUUCAUCCUUACAAACACAAGAAUUUAGGGGGUAUGAUAAAGAGUAUGGAAAAGUUGAUAAUGUUAAGAUCUUCUUGAAAUAUAUUCAAUUUAUACAUGGUGAUUAUUAAUAUUUAUAUCAGAGUCAGUUCUAAGCUAUCUCCCAGUUUCAAAAAAGAGUUGUGGGUUUAACCCCCACAUUUGUUGUCAAUCAUAGGAAUAUAAAUUAUUACUUGUUAUUGAUCUCGUUAUCUUUUCUGUUAGUAUAUGUACCUAUUAUAAAUCAUCUAAAUUUAUUCAAAUUAUGAUAUAAAAUAGAUGAAAAAAAAAAUGCUAGAUGAAUUAGUGUAUCCACAUAGAUCACUAUCCUGAAAUAAAUAACUGACACACACAAGAAUCUCAAAAGGAUGGCAUGGAGUAGGACAAGUAUCAAUAGGCUAAGCCACAUUCACAGCUUUGUUUACAAUAAUAGAAAUAAUUAAUAGGGGGUAAAGUUGCAUAACCACAUCCCAUGCAUAUGUAUAGGAUGUUAUGUGAUGUAUAUAUCCUAUUCAUCUUACAAUAAUAGUGUGUCUCUGAUCCUCAUUAUUAUUAUCUCUCCCUUCAAGUUUCACCCAUCAUGGAUGUCUAAAAAAGCUAAGGAGAGUGUUAGAUAUAUUGCUUUGUAUAAAAUGUCUCUUAAGAAAGAUGUGAUUCUUUCAACAUCAGUUUAUACCUUCCACGAUCCGCGCCUUCAUCAACAUCCAUUUAAUGGAUUAAGCUAAUGGGUUAAAUCUAUGUUUCUUAGCUCAUCUGUCGAUUUCACGUACCUUUCACAUCCAUUGUGCGUUAUAACAACAAACUUUAAUGCAAAGAAUAGCUUGCAUGAGCUUUGCCUCUGUAUGUAUAUAUAUAUAUAUAUAUAUAUAUGAGGCUAUUUUUGGUUCUAUUUUUUUAGAUUUAUGCAUUGGCAACAUCAAAAUUUAAUGCAAGGAAUGUAUAGAUGUUGUGAGGCUAUUGUUGUUCCAUUUUCAGAUUUAUUUAUUCAUGGCAACAUCAAUUAUUUAAUGCAAGGAAUAGUUUUUCUGAGCUUUGCAUCUGAUAUGUGUAUGAAGUUACUAAUGAUAAAUUAUUAGGCGAAGCCGUUUUUGGUUUAAAGAGGGAAAGGUAGUAAGCAUUUCGCUUUGUUCAUUUCUUAGAAAUGAACUGAAAUAUAAAUCAAUUAGAUUUCAAACGUUGGACUUCGGAUACUAACCAUCAAAUCCUUGGUCAGCUGUGUUGGAUGCAGUUAGUAAGAAUACAGAAAUGUGUAUUAUGAUAUUUACAGGGGUAAAUCUACAAAUAAGGUGAUUGAAGGUAAUAUUGCUCAUAGUAUAUUCUUAGGUUUCUCAAUAGAUUUAAUUAUAUAAAAAUAUAAAAUUAGGUACUUUAUGAUAUAGGGAGAGAGAGGGCUCCCUAUUUACCAAUGAUUUAAAAAUCAGGUCCACCUGUGAUCUAGUCUAUAAAGCGGUUCAGUUCAAUUCUUUAAAUUAGAUAAGUCAAAAAAUCACUUUUAAUCUUUCAAAUCAGUGGUUCAACCAUUGAACAUGUAGAACAGUUCAAUUUUAAUCAAAGUGGCCGGAUUUUUUUUUAAUCAAGCUAUAUUAAAAUCCAAUGACUUAAAAUAAAGUUAGCUGAUUUUAUUUUCUAUUAGCAUAGAUUAGUCUUAUAAAAAAUAAAUUGAAAAUUUAUAUCUAUUUAAUUUAGUUUAGAAAUCAGUAUUUUAUAAUUAUGAUGCUAGAAUAAAAGCAUAUAUAUAUAAUAAAAUUUAAAAUAAUAAUUAAAUAUUUAUGGCAUGAUGCCGACGUUGAUUGAAACUAGUGGCUGACCCACUGGCUGAAUCAGUAACCCUUGACCUAAUAACAUUUUCGAAUCACUGUUUGAUCUGAUUUUUAAAACAUUACUAUUAAUAUGAAACAUAAACAUACACAUUAAGAAGGGGAUUUCUUGGACUAGUACUAUAAAAAGCACUAAUACUAGCAUCCUAAGACAAACAAGUACAAAUUAACCUGCAUUAGGUGUUUGUUUCGACGCAAGUAGAGUACUUUUAAUGUAAGUGAAUUCGCCUGCAUUACGCCGGAAAUCACUCACGUUGAGUCGGAAAUCGCAACUAAUUAAAGAGCUAAAGAUAAGUGUUUGCUUGAUUUUAAACGACGAACGGAAUCGAAAUAGAUUGGAAUGUAAAAUAAAACGGCGAAAUCUCCUGUAUUAAAUAUUAGAUCCAUAGAUAUGGCAAUUGAAUUUCAACUUUCUCUAUAGUGGUUUUCAAGCAAAUAAAUAAAAUAGAGUGAGAGUGGAACAUUAUAUACUUGGUGCCUUUCUUUGUGGAUUGGAUUUGAAUCGAUCUUAUUUUGUCGCCAAAAAUCUCAAACCAAUCUAGCCCAUAGCCCAAUUCUUUUGGGCUAGACCGGUCACGCGCUUAGCCCAAUAAUAGCCCUAGAUUUUGUUUUUUGUUUUUUGUUUUUUUUUUUUUGGUUUAAAACUUUAAAUAGAGUAGGGCUAAUAUACUCUUAUAAGUAUAGAGCACUUUAUACUCAUAAGUUAUUUUUGAUGAUGGAACUUCCGAAUCGACGAUCCACUCCAUUAAAUAUGAUCUAGAGUAUUUGAAACUUCUAAAAAAUAAAUUCAUAAUUUUUGGAAAUCGUAAUAAACUCUAUCAAGCGGUCAUAAAAUGAAUAGUCAAAAUAGAACGACGUUCUAAAAUCUCAAACCAAUCUGGCCCAUAGCCCAAUUUUUUUGGGCUAGACCGGUCACAAAGCUUAGCCCAAUAAUAGCCCUAGAUAUUUUUUUAAAAUAUCUUGUGACACCCAAAUAGUUUCAUAUCAAAUAAAAAUCGAAUUAUGAUUGAGAAUAUAAGGAACAUAAAUUCUAAUAAUAAUAAUUGAGCUUAAUUAUUUUAGAUCGUUAGUUUAGACCUAACGAAUUAUUAUUGCUAAUGGACUGAAUCAUUACAUUUGAUAUUAAAACUUAUUCACUAGCCGAAUAUAUGAGGUGAGCCUCCUAUCACCUAGUGAUUUCAGACUGUAUGUGAUUGAGUUGACGAGGACGCCAAGCCCUAAAUAGAGAGAGUCUGUGUCACUCUAAUAAUCCCACAUCAAAUAGAAAUGAAUUUGAGCCUAAACGAGGAGAGUUUGUGGCACACUAAUUGUCCGACAUUAGAUGGAAAUGAAGUUGUGAGUGAGAUUAUAGGAGACCAUACGUAAUUGGGCCGACUGUGUUUGGAAUAUAAGAAACCAUGAAUCAUAAUAAUAAUAAUUAGGUUUAAAUAUUUUGGGCUAUUUGGACCCAACGAAUUAUUAUUACUAGUAGGUUGGAUCAUUACAUAUCCUUUAAGCCCAAAAGUUUAAUCUUAUAGGUUUCAACCUUUACUCCUUUUGUAGUGACAUUUCAUUACAUAACAUAGCAUUCAAGUGUCUUUUUGAGUUACCAAACUCCGUCUGAGCUCAUACAGCUAACUCACGACCUCUUGCUCUAAUUUCUAGGGUCUCGCUUUUACUAGUGCACCACACCCAUUAUGUCCUACUACCGCAAUUUCUCCGUGUGCGACUCCACAGCUUAGAAGAGUAGCCCAAGAUCAUCAAGCCAUGAAGCCAUCAACUUUGAUAACAUUUGUUAGAAUAGUUUGGCGCACCUUAAGUUCAUACAUAUGGCCCAAAGGGCCGACCGCGUUAUUCGACUCGUAAAACCGAUCCAAUCCAAAAAUUAAGCCUGUAGGAAUUGGGCCCGCUAGCAUGAAUCAAUCCGUCCGUCGUACAUGAAAUCCUAAAUGUUCAUACAUAAUAUCAGAAUAAUACCGUAUAAAAUAUUUGCUUAGGUAAUUCUAAAAAUAUUUUUUUGAUGAUAUUUGAACACAAUACCUCCUACGCUGAUACUAUAUAAAUUAAUUGUUUAUUUUUAAUAACGUAUGCUGUGGGAGAACAAUAUUUAAUAUUUUAUAUUCAACAUUGCUGACAAGUACUGACCGUCCUUAGAGUAAGUGGUAAAAGCUUGAUGGUUGGUACCCGAGAUCCAAGUUCGAAUCCUAGUUGAUUCACAUUUCAAGCUAAGUUUAUUUUUAAAUGAAAUAAACGAAGCAGAUAGUGUGCUACCUAUCUCUAUAAAAAAAAAAAAAACCUAUCACUAUCAUCUGUAGCAUUGAAGUUAAAAAAUUAUAGAAUAUUUUUACUUCUUUUUGGGACCUUCUACAUUGUGAACUCUAAUGGGUUGGGCUUCANCGCACACACACACACACACACAUUGCUGACAAGUAAUAGCAGGAAGUGAGAUUAUCUUAUAGAAAGUAAUUGUUUUAAGAUUUGUAAUGUCUAUAAAGUAAAUCUUAUUUAUAUUUCUCAUCCAGUCCAACUCAACAUGGCCAUAUACAAGUCAUGAAAGUAUAUAAGGGCUUGUUUGGGUCAUCCAUUUUGGACAUGGAAUGAGAAUUGAUUUGAUUAAAUUCGGUUAAUUUUGUUUGGUUUGCAGUAAUCGGUUUGGGAUUCCUAUUCCAAACUGGAAUGAGAAUAUAUGGCCCAUCAGCCUUCCGGUCUUCUAGCCCGGAUUGAGAUUUUAUCUCCGAAGCCCACUAAGUUCCUGAGGUCCAUGCGACCAUCUCACCCUCCAGUCCUUUGUACGAUCUCUUCACCCCUCUCUCAUAAAAAAAAAAAAAAAAAAAAAACCUAUCCUCUCUCAAAAUCCUAUCCCUAACCCACAUCAAUUAAGUUUUUAAAAAUAAAUUUGAUAUUUUUUUUGAAAAACUUAUUAGAGAUAGUAUUAUAUUUUUCAUAAAUUUUAAAUAAUAUAAAAUUAUAUUUGAGAGUAAAAUUAGUAUUAUGGUAUUCUAUAAUUUUUUAGUUUAUACGAACCAAACAAUAAAAUAAUUUUCAAUCCACAAAUGAACCAAACGUUUUGGAAGAGUGAGCCAAUCCAAUUACCAUUCCAAAUUAUUUUUAUUCCAUUCUCUAUUCCAAUUCCACCUUUGAACCAAACAAGCCCUUAAUGUUAUUAUAAGGCUAGCUAAUAUAAGACUAAUACUUAACAAUAUAUAUUUUUAGAGAUAAUUUAAUAUGCUAAAAUUAUAACUCUAAAGUUUAAAUUUUUAUUUUCUAUUGCUAGUAGUGCAUUAAUUAUUGCCUACGUUGAUCAUAUUGGUAAUUAUCAUCAUCAGUUGUUAGAUUGAUUCCUAAUUAAUUAACUAUAUAAAUUCUCUGAUAGGUAAAAGCUCAUUAGGUGCUUAUACAUUUCGUAAUUAGUGGGGAACAUAUUCAUUAUAGCACAUUGUAUUGUGAUGAGCAUAUACUAUCAUGCAUGGUCGGCGCUGUCGUAAGAACAGUGGUGAUACCAUCAAAAAGACUAUUUUAAUCCUUUAAAAUAGAAAACAUGCGUAAAUGGAUCCAUAUCAAAUUUUACAGAUUCGGUAUGAAUUGACACCAGGCAAUACAAGGGCGACAUCCAUGAUAUUGGAGCAGCAUGUCACGAUAUUGGGCAUGCAUUAUGGUAGCGACAUACCCAAUACAGGACGGUACGCUCACAGUUUCUAGAUGUUAGGCGGCAUGAACAGGCAUGGACCAGUGCCACUGGCAUAGACAAUCCUUGACGGGAACCAUUUUCAAUCAUUACUUUAUGAGGAAAAAAAAAAAACAUUAAAUUAAAGUAUUCAUUGAAAAUUACUAUCAGAAUUAUUUGCAAGGUCAGAGAUUUGAACUCUUCGUUUGCGUGUUUCUACAAAAUAAGCUAGAGAGUUUCUAGCCAUUAUCUACCGGGUUGUACUUGAUACAAGUACGACCCAAAACCAAGAAAAGAAAAACAAGAAAAGAAAAACCAAUAGUAGGCAUCUUGUAUAUAUAUAUAUAUAUAUAUAUAUAUAUAUAUAUAUAUGCCAUGACUACUAUACUAUUAUGAGUAUUGGAGCCAUCGUACUCAUAAGUUGUUUUUAAUGAUGGAGCUUUCGAAUCGACAAUCCACUUUGUUAAAUAUGAUCUAGAGUAUUUGAAACUUUUAGAAAAUAAAUUUUGUAAAUUUUUGAAAUCAUAAUAAAGUCCAUCAAGUGGGUAUAAAAUGAACGCUCAAAAUCGAACGACGUCCUAAAAAAGAAUGAUCGGAUCCUUCAAUUCAAGAUCGGAGUUAUUGAUCUUUAUUUAUGUAGUGAAUAGAAUUUUCUAUCAAAAAUUCAACAAAUUCUGAUUCUUUUACACUGUUAAACUAGCAAGUAUUCCAUACCGGCCGUUAAAAAUUGUCAAAUUUGUAACCUCUUUAUCAUAAGGUAAAUGAUGUCAAAAAAUUAUAAAAUUUGAUUUCUAGAAGUUUUAAAUGCUAUAAAUAACGUUUAACGGUGUGGAUCGUAGAUUCGGAAGCUUUAUUAUCGAAAACAACUUAUGAGUACGAGGGCGAUCGUACUCAUAAUAGUAUAGUAGCUGGACCCUAUAUAUAUAUAUAUAUAUAUAUAUAUAUAUAUAUAUAUAUAUAUAUAUAUAUAUAUAUNUAUAUAUAUAUAUAUAUAUAUAUAUUAAGAUCAUAUGCAUGUAAUGAGAGAAGAAGAGUUUAGAAAUUUCCACUUAUCAUAACUAUUGUUAUGUUAUCUGCUGAAAAUUUUCUAAGUACAGAUACUUCUCUAGACGCAAAGUUGUGUGUAUAUCCGCAGUUUCCAGCGGGUUCGAUUAAGCAACUAUAAAUUAAUGUAAAGAUCUUCGAAAUAGUAUAAAAUAUAUUUAACAAAAUAAAUUUUAAUUUUAAGUAUUUUAUGGUUGAGUUUUAGAAAUGUGGUAUAUACGGUACACCGAGCGGCGUACACUGUACUACUUAAAAAUUGUAAGUUCUAUUUCGACAAAUGUAUCAGAUGUACACAUCUUUUUGAAUGUGUUGAGACUAAAUAAUUAAACUACGAUUAUUCUUAGUCUUACAUGGUUUGGUUUUAGAGUGAGGCACAAUUAAUAUACCAGGUUUAUUGGAAUAUUUUUUUUAAAAGUAUAUGAAAUUAUGAUGAAAUGCUAUAUUUUACCUUGUCGUGCUUUGUCAAUAUAGAAUUUUGCUACAAAUUAAGUAGGCAUAUACAGUAAAAUAAAAACUAAAUAAGAGGGGAGAAAAAGAAUAAUUUUUCAAAUUCUAAUAUCAAAUGUGUAUUUUACUCUUAUGUACGUAGCAUGCCAUUAGAUCAUCUGUUACAUGAUUUUUGGACAUUUAGUUUAUAUAUACAUAUAUAUAUAUAUAUAUAUAGAGAGAGAGAGAGAGAGAGAGAGAGAGAGAGAGAGAGAGAGAGAGAGAGAGAGUCCCACUAUUAUACUUUUAUGAGUGCGAUCAUCCUCGUACUCAUAAAUCAUUUUCGAUGAUAGAACUUCCGAAUCGACGAUCCAUAACGUUAAAUAUUAUUUACAGCAUUUAAAAUUUUUAAAAUAUUAAAUUUUAUAAUUUUUCGAUAUCAUUUAGUUUACGAUCAAAAUGUCACAAAAUUAAUAAUUUUUAAUGGCCGGUAUGGAAUACUUGCUAAUUUGACGGUGUCAAAGAAUUUGAAUAUGCUGAAAUUUUGACAGAAAAUUCUAUUUACUAUCUAGAUAAAGAUUAAUAACACCGACCUUGAUGGACCUUUUGAAUCGAUUUUUGACUCUGUUAGAUUUGAUCUAAUAUAUUUGAAGUAUUUGAAAAAUAAAUUUUACGAUUUUUUUAGAUAAAGAUAGCACGCUAUCCACUUUAUUCAUUCAGAAAAUAAAUUCUGCUACAUAAAUUGAGACAACGGGGCCUCGAGUGAGUCAAACAGCUACAGAAAUGUAAAAAAAAAAGAGUCACCUAGAGUUACACAACUCAGCAAAUUUCCUUAUCAAUUCACGAAUUUGUCUAAUAGUCACUAGAGCAUCACUAGAUUGAUUCCUAAAAAUGACAUUGUUUUUGACUCGCGAAAUCAUCCACCAAUAAGUCGACACACUAGUUAAUUAGGUCCUUCUUAGCUGCCCUUUGGCUUUGGGUGCUGUUUUCUAGUAUAAGCUUUCAAACUCUCCUGACCUCCUCCACAGACCUUGGGAUAAAUCUUUCUGCUAAGAUAUAUAUAGAAUAUGAAAUAUAUGCUAAGAAUGCAUCUCACGAGCAGAUGAUCAUCGGUUUCGAGUUCAUCGCCACAUAGAAUACACUGUUAGUUCUCGAACCAACCGCUUUUAAGUAGGUUGUCUACUGUAGGUAGGCUUUUCUUCAUGGCUAACCAAAUAAAAAUCUUAACUUAAGAGGUAUUUUAAAUACCCAAACUUUCUGCAGAAGGACGUCCUGUGUGCCUCCGUCACUAAUCAAUUUAUACACUGAUUUAACAGUGAAGCACAAUCUCACAUUCCAUCUUCACUAUAUUUCAUCAGGUUUAAUUCGUCAGUGAUGUGGAAUCUUGAAAGUAGCUCUUUCGAUAUUAUUUACUUAGUAAUUCGAAGGACUAAAAAUGGAUGGCUAAAAAUAAAAAUCUUACAAAAAAUUAUGAUAUACCACGAAAAUUUUCGAUUAAAGAUAAUUAAUUUUGCUGUAAAUAGUAUUAAAGAAUUUUUGAUCUAAAUUUUAUCUGUUUUAAAUACUUCUGUACCGUUAAACAUGUAAACGGCAUAUAUUAAUCAAUAAAAAUUAUUGAUUUUGAACACUUUCGAUAAAUAGGUAAGUGAUAUCGAAUAGCCUCGUCCUACUCUCUUUCUCUCUCUCUCUCUCUCUCUCUCUAUAACUAAAAUUAUAUGCAACUAUAACUAUAAAUGGUAAAAUUUUAUAUGAUUGAGUUAAAUAAAUUUUUAUUGCAAAUUUUUUUGUAACUUGCUGCACCGCACAUAUCAUCUUACUAGUAAACAUUAAUUCCCAGUGGAUAUCAAAAUGUGAACUGAAUUUCUCAUUGCUUGAACGCAUUUUAAGUUACACAAAUUUCGGAUUAAUAAUUAGACUAAAACGUAGAGAAUUUUUUAAUAUCAUGGGAUCUAGAAGAAAAUAAAUUUCAAUCACGUUAAUUCCAUGGAUCAAUUUACUCCUCAAAAUAAGAAAAUGAAAUGCACCAAAUCCUAUCGAAAGAAACUUUCCAAAUCAAUACCUUUGAUAAAGAAGUUGAUUGCAUCCGCUCAUAUAAAGAGAAGUACUAUUAAGCUCCUUUAUAAAAAAUAAUGUGACGUUAUUAGCUAUAUUAAAAUAUAUCUUCUUAUUUUCUUUCUUUCUUUUAAAAUAGUCCUUGAAAACAUUCUCUAGUGAUGUUUUCUGAAGAAUUAAUAAAACGUGUGCUAAUCUUUCAACCCAAUUUUACUUUUUAUUAGAUGGUAUCAAAGCCACAAACUUCGCUAGCAACAAACGCGGCUAUGGAAGAAAAAAGAAUAUUCCUGCAAGUAUUAGUUUAAAGGUGUCUGUGAAUCGGAUCAGAUUUGAAAAGUUGAUAUACGUACUAUAUUUGUAUCCUUAAAAAAAUAUAAAAAAAAAUACCGUACUCAUUUAACUUCGCAUGGGGUCUGGGUCUGAGCACUUAAGUUAAUAAUAUGCCUAUCGGGUCUACUUGAAUGGGUAUGGGUAGUGACUAUCCGCUUAAGACUGGGUAUGGAUCGGAUAUGAGUCGGAUCUAGAUCAGGUAAGGAUACCUGUAUGCAUAUAUUUUUUUAUAAGCUUUAUUAAAUAAUUUAUGUAUAAACUAUAAAUUUUUCACUAUAAAAAACUCGCGUUCUAAUUAGUUGCACUAAGUCCAAUAAAAUUUGCUCAAAAAAAAAUUCAAACAGUAAACAUCUAGAAUUAAAAAAAGUGAGUAAAAUAAAAAAAUAAAAAAAGAGUAAACAGAGUGACUAAGAUUUUCACUAAAAUGAAAAUAUACGAAAAUCCUUCAUCUAUAAAUUAUACGAAAAUUGAUCCCUCAACUUCAAAUUUUAUUAUUUACUAUCAGGUAUUUCACCGAGUCCCGGUCCGAACCUGGCUCCGGGUCUGGAUUUGAAAACUCUUUCAGACCCUACCCAUUGAAAGGUCAGAUUCGGGUCGGGUCCAAAUCAGAUAUCGGUAUAAAAUAUUCGAACUCGUAUCCAAAACUUUAAUGGAUAAUUUUUUUUAUCCGUAUACUAUCUACUUUGUGUGGAGUCCGAUGCAGGUUCGGAUAGGGUCCGACUAGGGUCCGAAUUGGGUAUGAUAUAUCGGAUAUUUUAGACUGCUUAAUUCUCUUUGCGUAGCCCCUACCACUUACCACAAAAUGCAAACGCCAAUCUUAUCUCUAUCAACAGAGCAACGCAAUUGCCUCUCGAAUUAACCUCUUUAAAUUAUCCAUCAUGCAUGGCGCGUUCAAUUUAAUGCGCUUAUCCUUAGCUUCGGGUCCCGUUCGAGUUCGGAUAGGGUUCAGGUAGGGUCCGAAUCGAGUAUGAUAUUUCGAAUAUUUUCGACAGCUUUAUACUGGUUCUCUUUGCAUAACCCCUACUACUUUACCACCAAAUGAAAACUCUAAUCUUAUCUCUAUCAACGCAGCAACACAAUUGCCUCUCGAAUUAACCUCUUUAAAUUGUCGAUCAUGGUGCGCACAAUUUAAUGCGCUUAUCCUUAGCUUAUCUUCGGCUGUGAUCAUCUGAUGGGAUUUGUUGAUGAUAGCAGCUUAUCUUUGGCUAUGAUCAUCUGAUGGGAUUGGUUGGUUGAUCAAUGGUGGCAAAUGGUGCCCACUCUCUCACAGUGAUCAUGAAGGGGAAGCUCAAUCCGGAGUCCAAAUUUUUGCUCUUUGGCUGCAGUAAGAUCAGCUCUUUUUGUUGCAUGCUGUCGUGAGCAUCAAUCAACAUGGGAGAAUAUCAUGUCUUUCAUUGCCUCCGCUGAGUCGUCGUGUCGUCAUGUGAUGCGUGGCAAAAGCUUGCUCAAUUAUUGCUGAAAAUCUUGUACUCGCUCGCUUUUUCUUUUUCUUUUAGAAAAAGAUAGAUAGCGUGUUAUCCAUCUCAUUUAUUUUAUUUAGAAAUAAAUUUGAUCAUAAAUGUUAAUCAACUAGAAUUCAAACUUAAGACUUCGGAUACCGACCACUAAGUUCUUUGUCACUUGCGUUAGGAUGGUCAGUAAUCUUGUACUCAUUUCGAUACAACAUUUUGAGAAUUCCGCGUUUUGAUACCGAUUGCUAUAAAUCCGGUACUCGCUUUGGUACGGUUGUUAGAAUUCUGCAGCGAAAGCAUUAAAUCAAAUUUUUAGCAUAAACUUGUUUCCUUAGCGAAAACUCGAACAACUAUAAAAAAGAGAAAUAAUAUAUCCAAUGUAAAAUACGGAUAAAAUAAAAUUCAUCAACCAAAAGAAGAAUUAAACUUACUCCUUUCGACGCAGAGUACGUAGCUCCAAUCUGGGCCCUCCUUUUGAAUCUUUUAGCCUUCUCUCGUUUUCCAUAAAUCCACAAGGCUUUUCUCUCUCGAUCACAUGCAUGUUGACUUAAAUAGGCCAGCAUUCUGUCCUGUGGCGGGAGGCUAUGUUGGGCCGAGUCAUAUUCGAAAUGAUAUGAGGCUAGGUGGGCCGAGUCAUAUUCGAAGUGGUGUGAGGCUGGGUGGGCUAAGUCACAAUCGAGACCCGUGGGCGCUGUAUCUGUGCGCUUUAAGUAAAUUGGUUGGGUAUUUCUAACAGCUCGAGCUUUUGGGAUUAAUAGUUAGCGCUAACGAUCUGACAAGUGGUAUCAGAGCCAGAGAUCACUGGUUCGAUUCCUGCAUGCUGCAAAUGUGUGCAGGUGCUGGAGGGGGAAUUGUUUGUUUAAAUGGGCCAGCAUUUUGUUGUGUGGCAGGAGGCCAUGUUGGGUUGAGUCAUGUUCGAAAUUGCGUGAGGCUGGGUGGGCAGAGUCAUGUUCGAAGUGGCCUGAGGCUGGGUGGGCUGAGUCACAAUCAAGACCCGUGGAUGUUGUAUCUGUUUGAGUGAAUUGGUUGCGUAUUUGUAACAGCUCGAACUUUUAGGAUUAAUGGUUAGCGCCAACGAUCCUACAACAUGCACCGAUGUACAAAGUGCAUGCAACCCGGUCUAAACUUCCUCUCCUCUAGGCACACAACAACUUAAACUUCAGCACUCAAGCACUCCCUAAUUAAUCCGCCAUCCAUGCGUUCUAUAAUUCAACUAAAACUCUCGAAUCGUGUCUUUUAAAGACCGUUUUUCUUCUGUCUCACGAGGCACAAAAUCUACAUCCGAGUAUAUAUCCAUGCUCAUCAAGAUAACAGCCUAUCAAGUUAGCUAUUUGUCAAUUCGAUCUCCACUUGAUAAGAUAUUGAUGAUGUCGUCAUUUAUACACUCAACAUAGUAGGCCCCGAAUUUAAAGGGAUCGCAAGAUACUAUAUAUGAGAGCACAAGAGACUGUUCCAAUUACUUUUGAUGAAAUAUAGCAUGAUAAACUAAAAGACUCUGAACAUUUUUUGAAGAAUUAAGGAAGAAAUGUAAAAUGAUGUAACAGUACUUGAUCACAAUUAAUGGUCAACGCACACAGGCUUUUCUCCGUCACCCAACUUCUAUCGAAAACAUGUACAUCAUGUAACUAAUGAUAUGCAAAACCUCUCGCUUCGCUCGAAAUAUCAUGGUCUAGAUGAGAUAGUACGUAGAAGGUGAUCGAUGUUUGCGGAUUACACAUUCUGGUUCUUCGAUCUCUUGUAUCAUCACAUUCUACUUCCUUUCAAUCAUCUAAUGUUCUUUUUACUCGAUCUAUAAAAAAAAAUUCUUACCACCCAAUCUCGUAGUGGAGAUGAACAUCAAAAGCUAAAACUAUUUCUCUUUAAAUAUGGUAUUUUUUAUUUUACCACUCCACCUCACACAUCUGAACAAAACGUUAUUUCAAAAUGUUGCCAUCGUCGUAUUGUUGAGAUAGGCCUCACCCUCUUACAUUAAGCAUCCCUGUCCUCUAUAUUUGAUCACAUGCUUUUUUUCUGUCACCGCAUAUCUUAUUAAUCGUUUUUCUACUUCUAUUUUAAACUUCAAAUCUUUUUUGAAAAAAUUGUUCAGAAUAAAUCUAAUUACUUUGAACUUAAUUAAAGGUCUUCAAAUGCUUAUGCCAUUCUUGGCUUCGUCCUUACUUCAAUCACAAACUUCUUUUAACUACUUAGUUCCUUUAUACAAUUAGCUAUUAAUUUGCUUUCAAUAACUACUAAUAAGAUCCUAUAAAAAUGCUACAACUUAAUUACAUGUAUUCCACUUAAAUUUAUUGGAUUAAUUAAUAAUGAACAUAAUAACUGUCGUACCUAGUGCAUUUGGUUAAAAAUUUGAUGACUGGUAUCCGAAGUUCUAAAUUUGAAGCCUAGCUGAUGGAAAUAAAAAUGUGAAGUUAAUUUCUCUUUGCUUGAACGCAUUUCUAAGUUACAUAAAUAAACUCUUUUGACAAGUGGGUUUAAAUAAUUAGACUAAAAUACAAUUAUAUAUAUAUAUAUAUAUAUAUAUAUAUAUAUAUAUAUAUAUAUAUAUAUAUAUAUAUAUAGGACCUCCAUAUUUUCACUUUAUUUUUAACGAUGAAACAUACAAUUGAACAAUUAGUUUCAUUAAACAUCAUAUAUACUAAUAAAAAAUAUCCAGAUAUCAAAUUUUAUAAUUUUUUUAAUAUUAUUUAUCUAGUGAUCGAAAGGUCUCUGUUGGCAUUCAAUUAAACCAAAUCGGAUGCGUCCACGUACGAUCGGAUUCAAUUAGCCGGUUAUUAUGUUGUUUAAUUAGAUUAGACUUAAUCUCGAUUUUAAAUUAAAAAGUUAAUUAAAAAUAUAUUCUAGUCAUGUUAUGAUAACAAUUAUAAAUCGAUUUAGCCUAAUCUUUUAUUUAUAUAUUAGGACUUUGAAAUUACGUAUAAAUAUGCGGACUAUUCUCUUAUAGGUAGAAUAAGAGAAAAUAAGAGAAAAAAUACUCAAAAAUUUGUAAGUAAUUUGUGAGCCAUGUUGUGAGAGAGAGACCAUAUCCCCCAUUAACCUAUGCUUCUAGAGGGUUCUUGAACGGUAAAUUAGAAAUCGUGCUCGUUUGUAACUCGAUCUACCGCAAGUUUGAAGAGUUAGAAGACCUUCGUGGACGAUUCGAGCAUACAUGAAUCAACUUCUAUGAUUCGAAAUUUAUCGCAUUCUAGCACAAGUCGCAUUUUACUGUCUCAAAAUUAACAAAUUUGAUGACAAAUAUAACACAUUUGUUAGUUCAACAUUAUAAAACAAUUUUAUCAAGUAAAACUUUGAUAAAAGAAAAUUUCAUCAUUUAAAACAAGAUGAAUAGCUUUGAUCUAUAAUUUAAAUCUUAUAUCAUUAUUUUUUCACUACAACAAAAAUGGUGUAUAACGACAAUCUUAAAUAUCGAUACAGGUAAAAAAAUGUGUUGCUGGCUAAAUUAUCGACACUUUUUGAAAGUGUUGCUAUAUGUGGGGUUGCUAUAUGUGAGGACACCUCGAUAUUUGACCCCCACUCUUCCAGCGACCUGUGACUGAGGAACACGUGGUGAUCGUAGCCCUUUACAGUCCCUAUAAGAUCCUCGCGCCCUAACUCCAACCACCGGAACUAUACUUCGUCGGCUGCGGCGGCGGAAAAGGAGAAGGGCAGAUGGUGAUUAAUUUUUUUUUUUUUUUAUUUGUAAUCUGGCCGAGUGGGCUGAGUGAGAUUGGUUGAGUAGAGAAACUUUUUAUUUUUUAUUGGAUUGAACUUUAUACUUAGCCCUUAGUAAAUUUUUAAACUUUUUUUAUAUAAAUAGGACAUUUAUACAAAAAUGUCCUAAAAAUAUAUUUCUAUAAUUUAAUUCUGUUGCAGUGUUUAUAAUAAUUUUUUUUUCCAAUUGUUUAUUUGGAAACCACUAGUUCAUCAGGUAAGUGACUGGCAUGUUGCAUUAAAGAUUGCAAAUUUUGUAGUGCCAUUAUUAGUACCUUUAUACGGUUAGCUAUCACUUUGCUUACGUAAACUACUAAUAAGAUCCUAAAAAUAUAUUUCUCUAAUCUAAUUCUGUUGUAGUGUUUAUAAUAUUUUUUUGGCUAAAUUACAGAAAACCCUCCUGUAAUAACCCGCUUUUUCACUUUCCCACCCUGACAUUUAAAAACCUACACUUUGCCCCCUUGUAAAAUAAAAAAUGUGCACUUCACCCCUACCGUUAGGGUUCCGUUAGGGGUUCUGUUAAAAAAUAUUUUUUUAUACCGAAAAUACCCCUCUGCCUCUUCUCUGAUGCUUCGCUCCCUCCGGCUCGCCGCUUCGCCGCCUCGCCGCCUCGCCGUCCUCCACUGCUUCGCCCUCGCCCACAUCCCUUUCGUCCUCCUCCGCCACCUCGCCUUCGCCCUCGUUGUCCCUACCUACCUCUCCAUUAACACCCAUCUUAGUAUCCUCCCUACUGUCGCCGAAAUCGAUGGGCGGCGACGGUGUAGGAGGAGAAGGGGAGCAGGUGGAGAAGAAAUUGGAGAGGAAUCGUGGCCGAUUGAGGUGGAAAUAGCGGCGGAUCGAAGGGGCGGCUGAGGAAGCUCAGGAAGAAGACAACAAUGGCGAGGGGCAAAAUGGUCAUUUUACACACCGUGACCCCCCUGUGAACAUUUUUUAUUUUACAAGGGGGCAAAGUGUAGGUUUUUUAAUGUCAGGGGGGAAAAGUGAAAAAACGGGUUAUUACAGGGAGGUUUUCUGUAAUUUAGCCUAUUUCUUUUUCUAAUUAUUUAUUUGGAACCCACUGGUUCAUCAAGAAAGUGACUCGCAUGUUGCAUUAAAGAUUGCAAAUUUUAUAGUGCCAUUAUUAGUACCUUUAUACGGUUAGCUAUCACUUUGCUUACGUAAACUACUAAUAAGAUCCUAUAAAAACCUUACAACUUACAUGUAUCCAUUAACUUUAUCAAAUUAAUAACAAACAUAAUAACUGAUUGUACUUAGCAUAGUUGGCUAAAGACGUAAUUGCUGAUAUCCGAAUUUUUUAAGUUAGAACCCUAAUUUAUAGUUAUGAAAAAAAAGUGAAGUUCACUUCUCAUUGCUCCAAGACAUGUCUAAGUUACAUAGAAAAACUCUAUUAUCAAUUUGGUUUUAAUUAGACUAAAAACACAAAUAAUAUAUAUAUAUAUAUAGUAGGGCUAGAAUACUUGUAAAAGUAUCAUGGGGGUGAUACUUGUGUGUUUUUAGCCCUUGGAUGAAGAGAUGUGAGGUUGAGAUGAUGGUGAUAGGUGGUGGUAGGUGGUGGCAGGUGGAAUAGUGUUUAAUCCAAGGGCUAAUAAUAAUCAAAAAGUAGAUCCAAUGGUUUAAAACCUAAUAGCACCAUGAUGGUGAUACUUGUAAAAGUAUCAUAGCUCAACUCUCUCUCUCUCUCUAUAUAUAUAUAUAUGAAGCUACAUCUAUCGGAAGCCCGGAGCUUCGGGCUUCCACUCGUUUUCGAUGUUGCAACUUUCGAAUCGUCGAUCGCUCCGUUAAACUUGAUCUAGAGUAUUUGGAGUACCUAGAAAUAAUUUUAUUAUUUUUUGAUAUCAUUUACUAGUGAUCGAAUGGGCCUCAAAUCAACAAAUUUCAAGGGCCGUGUGUGUGCAGUUUGCAAAUUUAAUGGUGUAGAAAUAUUCAAAUCACGUGAAAUUUUGAUAGAAUUUUUUUAUACUAUAUAAAACAAGUCAAUAUCUUUGAUUUAAAAUUUAAUAUCAUAUUAUUACCUUUGUAAGAUUUUAUUUUCACCGUUGAUUUUGAGCCCUUCGUUCAUUAGGCAAAUGAUAUCGUAAAAUCAUGAAAUUAUUUUCUAGGUACUUCAAAUGCUCUAAUCAAGUUUAAUGGAGCUGAUCGACGAUCGAAAGUCGCAACAUCGAAAAUGAGCUGGAAGCACGGAAGGCUCCGUGCUUCCGAUAGCUAAGUAACCUUACUCUCUCUCUCUCUCUCUCUCUAUAUAUAUAAUAGAGUUGAGCUAGAAUAUCUCAAGGGCACCAUGAAAGUGGUGCUUUUGAGAUUUUAGUCAUUGAUGGAGAGAUCUGAGGUUGAGAUGAUGGUGGUAAGUGUGGUAAGUGGAACAGUGUUUUGAUCCAAAUGCUAUUAGAAUUAAAGAGUAGAUCCAAGGGCUAGAAAUUUAGAAGCACCAAAAAAUUAGUGCUUCUAAAAUAUAUCUAGCUAAAUUAUAUAAAUAUUAUAUAUAUAUAUAUAUAUAUAUAGAGUGAGGCUACUAUGCUAUCGGAAGCCGGAGCCUUCUGUGCUUCCAGCUCGUUUUCGAUGUUGCGACUUUCGAAUCGUCGAUCGCUCCGUUAAACUUGAUCUAGAGUAUUGAGUACCUAGAAAUAAAUUUAUUAUUUUUCGAUAUCAUUUGCCUAAUGAUCGAAUGGGCUCAAAAUCAACAAAUUUCAAUGGCCGUAGUGAGCCGUUUGCAAGUUUAACGGUGUAGAAAUAUCUAAAUCACGUGAAAUUUGAUAGAAAAUUCUUUAUACUAUAUAACAAGAUCAAUAUCUUUGAUUUAAAAUUUAAUGUCAUAUUAUUACAUUUUAUAGAUUUUUAUUUUCAGCCGUUGAUUUUGAGCCUUUUGUUCACUAGGCAAAUGAUAUCGUAAAUCAUAAAAUUAUUUUCUAGGUACUUAAAUACUCUAGAUCAAGUUUAACGGAGCGAUCGGCGUAUUCGAAAGUCGCAACAUCGAAAACGAGGUGGAAGCACGGAAGGCUCCGUGCUUCCAUAGCAUAGUAGUUACUCAUAUAUAUAUAUAUAUAUAUAUAUAUAUAUAUAUAUAUAUAUAUAUAAUAUUAAUAUAUAAUAUAUAUAUAUAUAUAUAUAUAUAUAAUGGACCUCUAUAUUUCCACUUUAUUUUUAACGGCGAGACAUAUAAGUCAACAUUUUUAUCUUCAUUCAAUAUGAUUUACACUAUUAGAAAUGAGUGGUGCUUCCGUACUUUAUUUUUUAAAGAUUAAAUGCACACAGAUUUCUAUAAAUAUAAUAAACUAUAAAUAUAUUUUUAUAAAGUUCAACUUUAAUAUGUUGUUUCUAAAAAAGUUCUAAUAUUUUCAAAUACGUUUCUCUAGUUUGUUACCGUUAGAGAAUUAUUUAUAUUUUAACAGCAAAUAAGUGAAAUCUCAAUUUUGUUAUCACAAAUAUGUUCCUUCAAAAGCUACAACAGUUAUAUAUAUGAGGGAUAAAAAUAUCAAGUUAUCUCAUAAAUUAUCCAGAAUUAAGUAUUUAACCAAUAAUUAACUAAUUUUUACUAACAGAUUCUAACAUUAGGAACAUAUUUAAAAACAUUAGAACUUUACAGAGACAAAAUAUAAAAGUUAAAUUUUAUAAAACACUCUUUGUAUUUUACUAUAUUUGCAUGGACUUGUAUGUAAUUAACCCUAUUUUACUAGUUUGCCGUUCGCUUUCACUUGACGGUCAAGAUUAGCUCCACAACCGGUCAUUGACCGGCUAUUGUAGGUUGUUUCCAAUUCACAGGCUAGCUUUUGCAUGAACCGAGUGCACUAGGCUCAAACUCGUAGAAUUAAAGUUCUUAUUCAAAACAAAAAACCUUAGCAAUGAUAUUAACAAAAAAAUUCAUACAUUUUGAUAUUCGAUUAUAUUCCAGUGAUAUUAAUUUCUUAAUAUCUAUAUAGCACUAUUUGAUACAUAAAUAAUAAAAUUCAAAACUUAUAAUUUUAAUACUUUAUAGUUUGACUUUCUUAAUUAAUAUUGUAGAUAAUAUUAUCAAACUAGUUUUUUGCUAAACCAAACCGUUAUGAGAUUAGGGCUGCAAACGGGGCGAAUUCAAGAGCGGGACGGUUCCCCCACCUCCCACUCUAUUUUUUGUCGGGACGGAAUAGACUCGAAGCAGAUUAUUUUUUAAUUUUAUUUUUUGCUCCCAUUUACUGCCUCAUUUGAGGUAGAUCGGGGUGGGAGCGAAUUUUUGAUAGAUUGAGACGGAUUGAAGGAAGAAAAGGGUCUCCCACCCCUUACUCCAUUUACUUGGUGGAUUAUGGUGGAUUUAGGACGAAUUAUAAUUUUUUAGUAUUUUUUGUUUCUACUUUACCGCCACAUUCAGAGCGGAUCGGGCGGGAGCUCCACCAACCCGGAUCCAUUUGCAUCCCUAUAUGAGAUAAAGUUUGGGGCUUCUGCCAUUAGCUUUGAAGUAAUAUAUAGGGUUUGUUUUGCAUGUAGCUCCCUCAAAAAGAAAUUUUUCUAAAUAAUUUUAUAAAAUUUAUAUUUGUAAGAUUGGUCUUAUCCCUGCCACAUAAGCAUCAUGCCAUCGCAACGCGAGCAUGGAUGGUUGCAUAGGUUAAAUUGAGCAUGAUGAACCUUUCACCAACACGAUGAAAGGUUCACCAUGUUCCAUUAUUUUUUUACUACGCUAUUACGGAAUAUUUGGGGUUUAAGAUUUAAAAAGGAUACGGUAGAUCAUUCAUCGUAUCCAAAUACAAUAUUUGGGGUUUAGAGUUUAGGAAGGACACGAUGAAUCAUUCAUGAUAUCCAAAUAUGACAAAUGGUUUAUCGUGUUCAAUUUAAUCUAUCGCCACGCCCACGUAGCGCUCGCGUAGCGCUUGCGUGACGGGAAUAGAAUUAAUCUUACAAAUGUAAAUUUUGUAGGGCGAUUUGUGAAAUUUUCUGGGAGAGCUAAAUGCAAAAAAAAGUCCUAAUAUAUAUUCUCUAAAUUAUAUAGCGUAUGGGGAAACAAAAAAAGAAAAAGAAAAAAAGUUGCAAGUUGCAAUUGGUGCGUGCUAGAGAUGUUAACGGAUCGGAUUCGGGGCGGAUUUUUAAAAAUCCGAACCCGAACCCGACUCCAAACCUGAGACCCGAACCCGAACCCGAACCCGACGGAUUUUAAAAAUCCAUAUCCAAAUCCGAACCCGACCAAAAAUUUGAAACCUGAACCCGGAUCCGAACCCAAAAAUUUGAAUCCGAAACAAUUAUUUCUUUUUUCAAUAUUUCAAAAUAUAUUAUAUUAAAUCUAAAUUUCUAAAAUACAAAUUCAAAUAUAACAUCAAAUAUAUAUAUAUAUAUAUUAUAUAAUACAAAAUAAAUUCGGGCUCGGUUCGAAUUCGGGUCGGGUUCGGGUUCGGGUCGGGUACAAUCAAAAUUCAUAUCCGAAUCCAUAUAUCCGUCGGGUUUCUAUUUUUGAUAUCCAUAUUCGAAUCCAUAUCCAUAUCCAUCGGAUAUAUCCGUUUUAUUCGGAUUCGGAUUCGGAUAAAAUUUCAGAUAUCCAUACCCAUUGACAACGGUCCCUAGUGCGUGCAAUGAUGAUUGAAACCUUGUUGAGAACCCUCAACGAUAUAGUAUUUUGAAAUAGGCCCUCAACAUUUUGCCAUUGCCCCCAUUAACUUCUAUAUUUUUCUUUUCAUUUGAAUCAUUCCAGUUUGUUAGGAUUAAAACAAUAUUAAAUUUUUUUACUAGCUAUUAUUCUUUAGUUUUCAAGUUUUUAUUUGCUAAAGAAUAAAUAAAAUUUUUAAUAUGAUGAUUAAUAUAUUUGAUAAUAUUGUCAAUUUAUUUGAUUAAAUUUUCUUAAUUUUAACGAAUGAUUAAAUUGUCUUAAUUUUAACGAAAAUAAAAAUUACAAAAAAUUCAGUCAAAACAAAAUAAAAUUGAUGGUCAUCUUAAAACCAUCUGUAGUCUCUAUAUAUUUUUAUUUGGAAUGAUUCUUAUUUCAAUCCUAAAAUAGUGGCAUGGAAUGGAAAAGUGUUUAAAAAUUACCUAUGUAUCACGGACACUUCUAUAAGCCUCGCGUGUUCGUGUCGGACACGUAUGUGUCCGAUGUGGACACUUCUCGGACGUCCGUUAAAUGUAGGGGUGGCAAUCCAGCUCGCUGUUCGUGAGCCGGCUCGUGUUCGGCUCGAAAUGAGCUCGAGAUCAAAUCGCUCGUUUAGUAAACGAGCUGAACACGAGCUGAAUUUUUCGGCUGGUUUAAUAAACGAGCCGAACACAAGCUGGGGUCAGCUCGCUCGUGUUCGGCUCGAUAACAGCUCGAAUACAUAUAUUUAAUAUUUAUAUAUCAAUAAAUAAUUAUACUAUUAAUAUACUUAUUUAUUAUUUAAUUUUUAACAAAAAAAAAAUAUAAAUGCGUGCUUAAUUAUAAAAAAGACUCAUUAUAUGUAAAGUUCAACUAUUACAUCAAAGUCUAAUGAAUAAGAUUUUAUAAAUUUACUUUUUAUAUAUAUUUAAUUAAUCUUUUUUUUUUAUUGUUGUUAGCCGGCUCGUGUUCGGUCCGUUAAUAAAUGAGUCAAACCGAGCUGAAUUUUUUCAGUCGAUACUUUAGCGAGCCAGCUCGUGUUCGGCUCGUUAAUAAACGAGCCGAACACGAGCUGGAUUUUUCGGCUCGAUACUUUAGCGAGCCAGCUCGUGUUCGGCUCGUUUACACCCCUAGUUAAAUGCCAACCCAUAGCGCAUAUAAGUAAAAAAAAUAUAGACCUAUUUUUAUUUUAUUUUUUCUAUACAUAUGUAAUUAAUGCACGAUAAUAAAUAUUUUAGUUUUUUAAUAAAUGCAUAUAAUUUUUUUUGAGAAUAUAAAUAAAUUAUAUUUGGUGGAGAUUUUUUUUUCUUAAAAUAUAUGAACUAUCAAUGAAAAUUUUACUAACUUUCAUUUGUAUGACAAAUAUAACAAUAUUUUACCAAAAUUAAUAUUUUAUAUAUAAUCAAAAUAUAUUAUUAUAUUAAUAAUAUUAUAUUUUAUUAGCGGUGUUCAUGUCGUGUCCGUGUCUUAAUUUUUUGAAAGUUGUCGAGUCACGGUAUCCGAGUCGUGUCGUGUCCCGUGUCCCGUGUCAUUGUCCGUGACGUCUAGAAAAUUACUAAUUUUAACAUGAAAAAGAAAAGUGAUCUGAUAACCAAGUGACUCUUUGAAUGACAAAUUUCUCCUUAACAAAUCAAUGGAUGAAGUAAUUCCUCUUAUUAUAGAGAAAACGAAUGGAAGCAAAACUCGUUAGAAAUAUCUAAAUAUCAAAUUUUAUGAUUUUUAAUAAUAUAUAUUUAGUGAUCGAAUGGUCUCGAAAUUAACAAAUUUUAUGACAGAUGUGAUAUAUAUGUUAGCUUAAUGUUAUAAAAUAAUUCUUAUCACAUAGAAUUUUGAGAGAAAGUUUUGAUACGUACUUCUGAUAUAAUUAAGACUCAAUUUGAGUCUUAUAUCAUCAAUUUUUUUAUUAUUUUUUAUGAUAUUUUUAUUUGCAAUUAUUUAUUUGGAAACCACUCGUUCAUCAGGUAAGUGAUUCGCGUGCUCCACUAAAGAUACGAAAUUUUGGAUCACAUUGUAAAAUAUUUUAACCACUUAGUACCUUUAUACGAUUAGCUAUUGAUUUGCUUACGUUAACUACUAAUAAGAUCCUAUAAUAAUCUUACAACUCACACGUCUCCACUUAACUUUAUUAGAUUAAUAAUAGACAUAAUUACAUAUUAAUUAUACAUAUGAUUGGUAUCUGAAGUUUAAGUUCGAAACUUAAUUGCUUUAUAUUAUUAGCUAAGUUCAUUUCUAAAGAACGAACGAAGCAGGUAGCUCAUUUAUCUUCCUCUCAGAAAACGGAAGAACGUAAUAAAAUUUGUAUAUUUUUAUAAAAAGUUGAUAAAAUAUUAUUGUUACAAAAUCUUUAUAGCUUCUUAGUAUAACGUACUAGGUACAGGAAAAACAUCACAUUUAUUUAAUCAUAAAAUUAAAGUGCCGCGUGCUAAGGUUGAUGUGACCAUUUAAUCUUAGGAAUCAUACAUGUCAUAUGUAUGUUAGGGCUAAAAUGCUCACUCCAUAUGACCCAAAAAAAAAAAAAAGAAAAAAAAGAAAGAUUCAGAUACAGAGAACAAACUAUAAUUAGACGCAUUAAGAGAUUUGUUUUUUUUUUUCUUUUGGAAAGAAAAUGAGAUCAGGGAUUUGAGUGCAUGCCAAACAAUGAAAAAUACAUGAACGAAUUAAAUUUGCUCAAGUGAUCAAUUGUUUAACGUUAUCAUUUUGCCUUUGACUUUGCUCUGAACCGUCCAUAAAUUAAUAUUUAAUAAAAAAGUUUUAAAUAUUUUGCUGUAAUAAAAAGGCUAUUAAGAUUCGGAGCAUCAAAAGGAUCUAUUAAUUUGGUACCGAAGAUUAUAAAACUAGCUAUUAGAUUACAAAGAGUUAGAACAAAAAUAUAUAGAAAUUUAUUAAAUCCUACAUUUUCUGAUGGGAUUCACUAUAAUAAAAACGGUCUAUAAUGACACUUUUAAAUGUAGGUACAUGUCAAAAAAGUGCUGCUAGCUAAAAUUACCGACACUUUUAAAAAGUGUUGCUAUAUGUGGGGUCGCUAGGUAUAUAGUGACAGUUAAAGAGUGUCGCUAUAAUCUAAAAGAGUGCUGCUAAUUUACCAAUACUUAUUUAAGCAUUUAGCAACAGCCGAAACUCUAUCUCGUUGGCUGCGGUGGCGGAGGAAGACGACAGGAAACGCUCUUCGUCUAGAAUUUCAGUGGAUUGAGUGAAGAGAGAAGAAAAGAUGGUAAUUGAAUUUUCUUUUUUUUUUUUCUUUUCUAUUUGUAAUCGGGCCAAAUGGACUGGGUGUGGUGGGUUGAAUAGAGUAAUAUUUUAUUUUUUGUUGGAUUGAGCUUUAUAUUUAGGCAUUAGUAGAUAUUUUUUUAAGUUUAAAAUAAAUGGGACACUUACUCAAAAGUGUCCCAAACAUGUGUCCCUAUAACCUAAUUCUGUUGUAGUGAUUAUAUAAAUUAGGCACGAUAACCAAGCAAGUUAUUGCCGUAUAUAAAAUAUGACAUCUUUUUGUCGUACUUAAUUUCACAUAAUUCAUAAUGCAUAAUGCAUUCUUCUUACAAUUCCACACUGAGCGAAAAAUAAGAGUCCUAAUUAUAUUUUAACUUAUUGUGAGUUUCCGAUGUAUAACGUAACUUAGACGAUACUAAAUUUGUGUACAACAUUAGAGAUUAAACUACACUAUAGCUUUACUUGAGAUUAUAAGCAAAAUACGUUAUGUACAUUUAGAGAAUGCAUGCAAUAAAAAAAAUUAUUAUAUAUAAUGUAUUCUCCCUACAAUUUCAAACGCAGCCAAAAGUAAAAGUUCUAAUAUUUAACUUGCAUGUUGUGAGUUAGUUUCCGAUGUAUAACUUAACUUACGCAAUUAAUACUAAAUUUUGUGUACAACAUUAAAGCUUAAACUAUCUUACGUACUAGGGUUGUCAAUGGGUAUGGAUACCCGAAAUUUUAUCCGAAUCCGAAUCCGAAUGAAACGGAUAUAUUCGAUGGAUAUAGAUAUGGAUUCGGAUAUAGAUAUAAAAAAUAGAAAUCCGACGGAUAUGGAUUCGGAUUUGAAUUAUACCCGACCCGAACCCGAACCCGAACCCGAUCCGAACCUGAAUUUAUUUUGUAUUAUAUAUAAUAUAUAUAUAAAAAUUUGAUGUUACAUUUGAAUUUAUAUUUUAAAAAUUUAAAUUUAAUAUAAUAUAUUUUAAAAUAUUGAAAAAUAAAUAAGGGUAUGGAUUUUUAAAAUCCGUCGGGUUUAGGUUCGGGUUCGGAUCUCGGGUUUGGAGUCGGGUUCGGAUUCGGAUUUUUAAAAAUUCGCCCCGAAUUCGACCCGUUGACCUCUACAACGUACAGCUUUACUCGAGAUUACAAAUAGAAUACGCUACGUACAGUUAGAAAAUACGAUAAAAAAUUAUCCCCUUUUGUUUCACCACAAACUCCUGAGGAGCGUAUCUCCACACGUGUACUCUCCAACUCUUCUUUUUUUUAACCCAACAACAUCAGUGGUAUACUAGUACCAUCAUGAAAAGUACAUAAUCCAACCACACUCAUUAAAUGUUUAUUCUAUACCUAAGUAUAUAUGUAUCUUUAUAUAUAUAUAUAUAAUUAUCAAGUGUAUAAAUCUAUUGCACGCGCCUAAAAGUGCAUGCCAUGCAUGUACAUAUAUUAUCGAUCUUAGUACAUACCUGUAGGCAACAUAGCUAAAGAGUUCCCUACACGCGUAUCUCUCUUUUUCCAUGCCAAAUAGAGACAAUUUGGUGAAAAUGGUGCAUCCACAGGAACCUAAUCCUGAUCCUAGUUAUCUCCCAUUAAUUAAAUUAAAUUGACCCAAAAGUGACACCCCUCUUUAAUGCAUUGCUUGCCCUAGAAGCUCUACCCAACUCCUACACCCCUUGAUCACAGGACACAUAGCAGUUGCAACAAUUACUAGUAUACCAAGUCAUUGGAGGGGGGGAAAGUGAGAGCUUUUGUGUUAGUGGCUGCAGCAAUCAAGCAAUAGCUCUUUAGUUGAGAAGCCAAUUAGAUUAAGGUUAAGCAACAUGACAAGCUUUGUUAACGCCGGGGUUUAGUUGAUUAAUGGUUCUUUAAUUGCUUUUUAGUGCUGCUUUGCUAGCUGUAACCUAUGAUGUCCCUGAGAGAACGGAAGGUUAUGUUUUUUUAGGGUUUGUUUAUUUCUAGGGGCGGAGCCUGAGCUUUCGAGCGGCAGGGGCGCGACUGACAGAUGUACAAUAUUGUAACACACUAAUGUUAUCUAUCAUGUAUAUGUAUACAAUUAAUGUUGUCUAUGCUACAACCAAUAUUCAACAAGAUAACAUUUCAAUAUAGGAGCACAUUGUAGCCAAUAAAUGAGAUACAGAGAUUGAAUGAGCAAUAGUACAGGAAAAUAGAGUAUAUACAUAUAUUUAGUAUUCAAUGUGUAUUAAUUAAACAAUUCAAAAAAGUAUAUAUAUUUUAACUUCAUCGAUCUCUCACUUUUAUAGUUGAAACUAGUUAGUGAUAUAAUGACAAUACAGUUACUUCUGGCACAUGAUCUUACUUUUGUUUCUGUUUUUAGGGAUUAGUAUUUAACAAAGUUUUUUUAAAAAAAUCCUAAAGAUUAUGUUAAUUUAGUGAACUAAAAUAGGAUUAUAGCCUUAAAAAUGAGAGCUAUAUAUAAUUUCAUAUUCAUGGAUUUGCUCCGAAACGGCAAUAUGAACAUCUAAAUAUAUAUAUAGUGCAUUUUCUUAUAGCAGUAUUUAAACAGCACCUUCGGACUUACUUUUUUGGUUACUUGAUAAUAUGUGAAAUGGUCAAAGUAGUAGAUCUAACGAUGAAAAACUUCGUAGUACCAAGUAUUUGGUGCUAUUAAUAGUAUAGUAGUUUGGACUAUAUAUAUAUGUAUAUAUAUUAUAGAAGCAAUUGGUUAUAUACCCUUGAAGUUUCCGACUUUCCGAUUUACCCCUCUUAGAAAGCUAAUAUUAAUGAAAAUACCUUUUUUAUGUUUUAACCUAUUUCUAAUAUACCCAUAGAGUUAAAAUCUGUUAAUAAACUCUGUUAUCUCUGUAAAAUUACUAUUGUGCCCUUUCAAAUAUACCCUUCCACCAUCAGCGACUUUCUUAUUUGCCCUUGAAGUCAGGGGCACAAAAAGUAUUUGACUUUUGGUUUUUUCAAAUGUACCCUUUUACCGUCACCAACAUUUCUUAUUUGCCCUUGAGUAAAGGGCAAAAUUGGCAUUUUAAUUUUUUUUAACUGUAGUAGAUAUUUAACUCACGUUUAACCUAAGUUAAUUUAACAGGGGAUAACUGCGGGGGUAUUUUGUAAUAACGGUAGAACAUAUGAAGGGUAUUUUAGAAAAAAAAAAGAAGUAGGAAUAAAUCGGAUAUUUUCAAACAUAUGAGAGGUGUAUAGACAAUUAUCCCUAUAUUAUAUAUAUAAAAGGAGGCGUAAAAAAGCUGUAUUGAAUAACAUUAUCUCUAAAAAGUAAUGCCCACACUCAUAAAUUCUCCUUUGGAGCUUCUCUUGAACUAUGCAGCAUAUUUACUUUUUUUUUGAGAGAAAAGCAGCAUGUUGUACACUUCAUUCAUAUAGGAAAUGAAUUCAGCUAUAAGAGUUGAGGCAACUCAGCCUCGAAAAAAUUAAAGGCAAUCGCAAAAAAAAGAAAAGAAAAAAAUAGCCAAUCACUUAGAGUUGCAGAACUCAACCUACUUCCUCUCCCCGUCCCGAAUUCAUCUACUAGUGAUUGGGGGAUCUGAAGAUUAGUUUCUAGAAAUUACGUUACUUCUUUCUCGGCAGAUCAUCCACCAACAAGCUGCAACCUUUGUCAAUUCUUUCGCUGAUGCCCUUUGAGAGUGAUUCUUAGUCACAAAUUCUCUGACACACCUGGCCUCCACUAUAGACCCCACCGUGUAGUUCAUAUGAGGAAUUACUAGUUGAGAUUAGGGGAUCUGAAGAUUGGUUUUUAGAAAUUACGCUAUUUCUUUCUCGCCAGAGCAUCCACCAACAAAUUGCAACCUUUGUCAAAUCUUUCGCUGAUGCCCCUUGAGAGUGAUUCUUAGACAAAAACACUCUGACACACCUGGCCUCCACUAUAGACCCCACCAUGCAGUUCAUAUGAAGAAUUACUAGUUCUUUUUUUCGCCAAAAAAAAAAAAGCUUUGUUUUUAGUUCUUCUUUGUCGAGUACAUAUUAUGCCGUAAGAUUUGGACGAUUGCAGCAUGUGUCCUAAUAGAACGACAUGAAGAACAUUAUUUUUAGGUAAGAAUAUUCGGCUUACACAGAGCUUCAGUAAAAAUAUGCUGCUUGAAUAAAACUAUUCGGAAAUUUAUCUUUUCUCUUCUAAUUUAUACGCCAGCACUAAUACUUUUUUUUCACGAAGAAUCUUGUACAUACCCAGCUUUUGGUGCUCCAUGCCAGCUGCGACCUAUGUUGCAAGAAAAGGACAAGAGAGUCAGGAGACAUGAAGAAGAGAUUACGUUUUAGGGCUUGUUUAGCUCAUCUUACAACUUUUACAAAAAAGCACUACUAUUUAAAAAGAACUAGAAGUACUAUUGGAAAACACUCGUACAAUAAUAAUCAUUAAAGUACUCUUCAAUAAUACUCCUCUUUUGUAUAGUUUGUAAUAUGAUCAGGAGUUUUGAAUUUGAGCUUCUACUUAUAAUUCUAAAUUACUUGCUUGUUUUACUCUCUCGGUAAAAUAAGUAGGUUAGGAUGUUAUCUAGCAAGCAUUGGACAACCGCUUAUUAAAGUAGGAAAGAAAAAGCUAUGGUCAAGCGACUCCGGAAGCUAGAAGAUCAAUACGAGAAAUGUACUUUUUAGGGUUGGCCAAUUUGACCUACUAGGAGCUUCUGGAGAAACAAUAUCUGAGCACAGGUACAUAAAAAAAGUACUAACAAUUUUCUUACAAAAAGUUCCUUCGAUAACAUUCCGUAUUUGUGAGUUCUGCAAUAAAAUAUGUAUAGGAGUCUUAAAAUUGGCUCGAAAAAUAACUUUAUAUACUAAUAAAUAAAGAUUUCUUAUUUUUUUUUUUAUUUUUGUGAUUGCAGUCAAGGAGUUUGAUUUCAUUCCUUGAAAGAUUCUGACAUCCAUAACUUGUCCGUAUACAGCUACAUCAAAUAAUUAACUAUUACUUUUAGAGAAGAAAACAGAAUUUCAAAUAAAAUUGCGCCAAAUUAUGGGCCAAAAAUCAUUAAUUAACCAGCAAUCAUUAAGCGCGUCUUUUUCUACGCAUUAAUUGUGGUGUACAAUUGUGCUUAGUGUGCGGUCUGCUUGGCAUACAUUUAUAGAUGCAGUACUAUGACCUACAGCAAUGAGCUUUCAACAGAGUCUACAACACUCUUUUUAAGUCACACAGUUUUUCUCCCGUGCAAUACAGUUUGAUAGAAAUCUGAUUACAUACUACAAUAAAAUAUAUUUUAGACGAUAUUUUAUUCCAGCAUCUUUAAUAUUUGGCAUGUGUUGAUAUCAUAAUUAAGCAUCACUAAUAAAUAUACUCGACGCAUGUCGAUAUAUUUAUUUCAACAUAUUUACUUAAACGAUUCUUUACUCGACGUUUUUAUAAACAUUAGGCUUAUUUUUGCCGAUGCUUUAGAACAUUGCCAAUUUUUAUUUAAAGUGCCCUUAAAUAUAAGAUUUGUUAUACGGAUACGUUGAUGCCAGUUGUUAGGAUAAAAAUAGAGCCAACGUGAAAGCAAGGGUGUAGGUUAAUUGGGCUAUAAAGAGAGAGAGAGAGAGAGGGAAAAUGAUUUGACCAUGAUUUGACUGAGGGGGGGAUAGCCAUUGAUUUGGCGGCUGAGAUUUGAGGUGGGAGGGUGUGGACGGGAGCGGAUCACGUUACACGUGACGAUGCGUGACAAGUCUCUAAAUCCGGGGUUAAAUUUGACCCCCCAAUUACGUACGUUCACAUUCCCCACCUCUUUGGGGUUACAUCAACCCCUUGCAAAAGUUUCACGCAUAUCUCAAUUUUAUUGUGUUGAAUGCUUUUGAUCAGGGUAAUUAUGUUUAGGUAAAGCGAGAUAGACGCGGACAUGCCAUGAUUGUUACUGUUAAUUACCUAACAUGUGUGAUACGACUGGUUAGGAAGUAACUCGAACGUAAUAAAAAAAAUAUAUAUUAUCAUUAACAAAAACUUUUUUACUAUAUAUAUAUAUAUAUAUAUAUAUAUAUAGAAUUAUGCUACUAUACUACCAAUAGUACCAACCCCUUGGUACUAUUGAGUUUUUAGCCGUUGGAUGAAAGGAUGUGCGGUUAGGAUGAUAGUGGUCCCCUAGGGUUGAGUGGGUGGUUGGUUUACUAGUAUAAUCUAACAGGUGGAAGUGAUCAAUAGGUAGAUCUAACGGUAGAAAAUUCAAUAGUACCAAGGGCUUGGUACAAUCGAUAGUAUAGUAGCCGGACUCUCUCUCUCUCUCUCUCUCUCUCUNAUAUAUAUAUAUAUAUAUAUAUAUAUAUAUUUAAGUACUUAUGGGUAACUCGGUAUUAAGAAGACCAUUCAAAGUUACGCGUUCUAAGCAAUGCUUCAAAAUCAUUUUGACUCGGCUAGUUUGACUGCUUGGAUUGUAGAGUGGUUUUCUUAUGGAAAAACUGCAAAACCCCCCGUGGUUUCGCAUUUUCUCACCUUAGUACCUUGUGGUUUUAUUUUUAUCUUUCCGACAGCUUUUUCGUUAAUAUUUCGUUAAAUUAUAUACAAAAAACUUCAGAUACCCAUCUAGGUUUAUCGAAUAUUCACUUUAGUAUUCUUUAAUUUUAACUUUGUCACUGAUUUAAGAAAAAAAUAGUAAAAUUAAUAAUAAAAGGAGAAAAUGAAACCACAGGGUACUAAAUUGAUGCACUUUAAACCACAUGGUACUAAAGUGAAAAAGUGCGAAACCAUAGAAGGGUUUUUGAAGUUUCCCUUUUUCUAUGGAAAAACUUCAAAUACUACCCUCGUGGCUUCGCACUUUUUCAUUUUAAUACUCUGUGGUUUAAAGUGUAUUAGUUUAGUAUCCUGGAGUUUCGUACUUUCCCACUUUAGUAUUCUGUAGUUUAAAAUGCAUCGAUUUAGUACCAUGUGGUUUCAUUUUUCUCUUUUCGUCUGCUCUUCUGUUAAUAUUUUGUUAAAUUAUAUACAAAAAACUUCAGAUAGCCUACCUAGAUUUAUCGAAUAUUUACUUUAAUACCCUUUAGUUUUAAUUUUGUUACUGAUUUUUUUUCCUCCGAUAAUAUUUCUUUAAAUAAUAUACAAAAAACUUCAAAUAUCUUAUCUAGAUUUAUCGAAUAUUCACUUUAGUACCCUUUAAUUUUAAUUUUGUUACUGAUUUAACGAAAAAAAAUUAAUUGAUAAUCAAAAAAGAAAAAUGAAACCACAUGGUACUAAUUUGAUACGCUUUAAACCACAAGAAGUACUAAAGUGAGAAAGUGCGAAACCAUUGGAACUAACUUGAUAUACUUUAAACCGUAUGGUACUAAAGUGAGAAAAUAUGAAACCACAUGGGGUAUUUGAAGUUUACCCUUUUUCUAUUUUCGGUCGAAGCAUAAAAUCGAUGGUUAAUUGGCUUAAAAACUCACUUUUGACCUGCUCAAAUAGGUAGUUAAACUAGUAAAUUUGUGAUUAUUGAUCUUUGGUUAAUUAUGUGGCCUAGAACAUUUAAUGAAUUUUGUGAAGCUUCUAAAACUCUCAUAUAGCUGGCCUAAUUAAGUUACUUUUUCCUCAUGUAAUAUAGCUGGCCAAAAGUUACUUUUUCCUAAUGCAAUAUAGCUGGCCUAAGUUACUUUUUCCUCUCUCCAAUAUUCUAUUGUUUUAUAUUUAAUUAUAAUUAUAUUAUUUACUAUUUUAAUAUAUAUAUAUAUAAACAAAAUUAAUAAUUUAUAAUGACACCAUAGGAUCGAUGAACAUGUUUAAUCACUGGUUGAAGCAGUGAAUUCUGAACCAACACAAGUGGUGUUUGAUAUUGGUUCUAUGUAUUUACCUAUAUUAUACAAUUCUUUUUCUUUUUCUUUUUUUUGAGAGAUAGGUAGCAUGUAAAGAUGUCUGUGGACCGGGUCGGGUCUGGAUAAUUAAUAUACUGUACUCAUACCCUAAAAAGAAUGGUUAUAAAAAAAUUUAUAUACCCUACCCAUUUAACUUCGGGUCGGAUCCGGAUCUGGGUACUAAAGUUACUAAUAUACCCAUCGGGUCUAUUUGAGCGGGUCUGGGUAGUGACUACCCGUAUACUACCCGUUCAAGACCGGAUAUGGAUCGGGUUUAGAUCGGGUACAGAUAUCCGUAUUAAUAUAUUUUUUUUAUAAACUUUAUUAAAUAGUCAAUAGACAAACUAUAAAGCCCACCAUAAAAAAACUCGCAUUCUAAUAAAUUGUACCGUCCAAUAAAAUUCAUUCAAAAGAAAUAUUGUCGCUGAUGAUGAUGAUGACACUGAUGAUGAUGAUGACAAUGAAAUAUUGUUGGCGGAAAUGAAAUGAAAAAAAAAGGAGUAGAAAACAAAGAGUAAAAAAAUUAGAAAAAAGUAAUGAGUAAAAGAGACGGCUAGGGUUUCAUUAGGAUGAAAAUACGUAGUGACUCAUCAUUUAUAAAUCAUAUUAAAAUUGAUCCUUCAACUUCAAAAGUUUAUUUUUUUUUUAUUUACUAUCGGAUAUUUCAUCGGGUCCGGGUCCGGGUUCGGAUUUGAAAACUAUUCCGGACCCUACCCGUUUAAAAGUUAGGUUCGGGUCUGGUCCAAAUCGGGUAUGGGUAUAAAAUAUCCGGACCCAUACCCGAAACUUUAAUGGGUAAUUUUUUUUAUCCGUAUACUAUUCAUUUUUUAUCGGGUCCGGUUCGGAUUCGGUUCGGGUCCGGAUAGGGUCCGGAUCGGGGGAUAUCGAUAUUUUGGACACCUUUAGUAGCAUGCUACCUGCUUCGUUUAUUUCAUUUAGAAAUAAAUUUAGCUGGAAAUGUGAACCAACUAGGAUUCGAACUUGGGUCUCGGGUACCGACCACCAAGCCCUUUGCCACCAACAUAUAUAAUAUAUGUAUAGAGUAGAACUACUAUACUAUCGAAAGUAUAGAGAAUUUGGUGUUUUCUAUUUUUUGGCUCUUAGAUCAGCCCCUUUAAUCAUCUCUAAUGUUUGGAUUAAUACUAUUACCCUAUAGGGACCACUCAAUCCUAGGGAUACUAUUCAACUCUAUGGGAGAUCGUAAUCAUUUCAACCGUACAAUUUUUUAUCUAAAGGUCAAAAAGUCGGAUGCAUUAAAUUCUCUAUAUUUCCUAUAGCAUAGUAGCUCUAUACAUAUAUUGAUAGCAUUAAGCUCUUGAUAUUAUCGAGUUUUCCGCCGUUAGAUUUACCAUUUGAUCAUUUCCACCCAUUAGAUUAUACUAUUCAACCAAUCACUCACUCAAUCCUAGGGAAGCAUUAUCAUCCUAACCGCACAUCUUUUCAUCCAACGGCCGAAAACUCGAUCGCACCAACUGCUUGGUACUAUUGAUAGUAUAGUAACAUAAUUAUAUAUAUACACACACGCAUAGAAUCAACUAUUAAGUAGCUAUUGGUUUUUUUUUUUUUUUAACCAUUCCCUAUUUCAACAAGCGAAAUCGACAAAUCAGUAGCAACUGUAAAAUGUUUGUACAAAACUAAAUGUUGUUAAAAAAUUUAAGGAACAAAGCAAUAAUAAUAUAUUCCAAAACCCAAACAGUUGCUUCCAUAAAAGCUCUAGUAUCCAACUUAAUUAAUGAAACAGACAUCAACAGUAAAUAAUUAAAAAAAUGCUGUAAAAAGCACUUAUAGGAAUUAAUGACUAUGAUGAUAUCACCAUUUACAACCCCAAGAAUAGAAAUAUAUAUAUACAUAUAUAUAUAUAUAAUAAAUUAGAAAACUACUUAAAAUGGUCUCUUGUAGCUUUCAAUAAGCCAAUGAUAGGGUCUAGAAGAAUAUAACCAUAACUAGCAAUUAUGAAUUGCAAUAAUCAUUUGAGUGUACAUCGAAAUUUCAAUAAUGAGACAAUCUAAUUCACCAUUCACACAUUUCAAAAUCCGAGCAUUAAUGAUGGAUGGCAUGUUAAUCAAAUUGUCACGCUGUGAUUAAAGAGGUUUCCUGCAUAUAUAUAUAUAAGUCACACUCAUACAUGAGGAGAUAACUUAGUGAACAAAACUUAAUUAUAUGGGGACCCGGUUCGCCUACUUUACUGUUCAUGUUGCUUUAAAAUUCGAGCGCUAAAUGUGAUGGGUGGCGGAUUAGAUCGCCUAAUUGUAUGAUGAGUCUCAUAUAUGUUUUUUCUUUUCAUUUCUUUUCACAACUGUUGGACACAGAACGAUUUUCUGUGUAAUCCAUUAAGAAUAUGUUUGGAUACUGUGGGAUUUUAUUGCAGAGCAAUAAUAUAUAUACCCAGUGGGGCUACUGCACUAUUCAUGUUGUUUUAAAAUUCGAGCGCUGUAAGUGAUGAGUGGUAGAUUUAAAUCGCUCACCUGUAUGAUGAGUCUCAUAUAUUUCAUUUAUUUUUGUAACUGUAGGACACAGGAUGAUUUUCUGUGUAAUUCAUUAAGGAUCUAUUUGGAUACUCCUUGGGGUUUUAUUGAAGAGCAAUAAUAUACUAUAGUAUGUGGAUGGUGGAUUCCAACUCCGAGCUCCUUUCACAAAACAACAAAAAACUUAUAAUAAUACAAUAAAAUUUUGGUGAUAUAGUUCAAGCAUAUCCUAAUGAAGUACAUGAAUAUAGAGUUCUAGACUUUUUUUUCUUUGUUUUGUAAAUAAUCUUACAAAAAAAAUUAAUUUUCUUUCAAAAAAAAUUAAUUUUUUUAAAAUUUUAUCUAGGCAGAUAUAUAAUUCUCGACACGUAAGUCAUAAGAUGAUAUAUAGAUCGUUCGUCACUUACAUAAUGAAUUAUCUAAAGAGGGUGAACCAUUCUGAUCGAUCUUUAAAGAAUGAUAAAUCAUUCACUGUUUACUUUUUAAAAAUGUGAGACAUCGCAAACGCUUUAGCUACCUGACACGUCUACGUGGCAAUGGCGUGGCACGGCAAUAAGAUUAUUCACCCAAAGAUAUUAAUUAUUUAUCCGAAUUAGUUCAAAUUUUUCAUAAAUUCAUUUUCUCCCCCCAAAAAAAACAAAAAAAAAAAAAAAUCUCUUUGGUACACUCCUAUACAUGAUAUACAUAUAUCAACUCCCCACACCACACAAAAUAUGGCUGGCUCUGGAGCUGGACAUUUGGACGGCGGAGAUUCGCCGAGGCUCCGUAACGUGUUGCCAAUCUCCUUUUGAUCGAGUUGGUAGUUGGACUAUGAAUAGUUUUGGCUUUAAGCUUUGAUGGCCAUAUAAUAACAAGUGUUACACACAUGCUAUUGCAUGUGUUGUGGCUCGUUUAUACGUGUCCAAGAUCAACGGUCUCAAACGCUUUUGCGGUGUAACACACACACACACCAUGCAUAGUGCGAUGGGGGGGGUGCACCCACAAAGUCUAAGAGGAUAUGAUUAGAAAGGGUGAGAUGAGACGCCAAGUUUUUAGCACAAUUAUUAAAGACAAUAAUUAAUAAUGCUGGCUCACACAACAUGCAUGUUGUAUAUACCAUGUAUAUUCUUUUGGCCACCUUUGUAAUUUUUUUUUUUCUUUUUUUCUCUUUUUGUGUGAGGGAGCUAUAAAUAGGGGGGCUUGUGAGGUUCCAAGGUAGUAGUGGACAGAGUAAGCUUGGGUUCUCAUCCACUCUCUCUCUCUCUCUCUCUCUCUCUCUCUCCUUUGCCAAAUUAGUGUCUUAAGGCCCCAGUGCUUAAGGAUGUUGGUCAUAAGAAUUGAGAACCCAUUGGCCACUGGAGUGGGUCUUAUAGGUGAUGAUUCUCUCUCUCCUCUUCUCUCUCUCCGUCGUAAAAAAAAAAAAAAAAAAAAAAUUACGAGAGAUCGAAUCGAUCGUCUUCUGAGACGCAGCUCUCCUUUUCUGAAAAUUGUAUUUCAUUCUGCGAUGCUUUAAAAGUUUGUGUGGAGUAACGACAUGCUCGAUGCAAAUAUGCUCUCUCUCUCUCUCUCUCUCUCUCUGAGAGAAAAGUUACAAGUAAUACUAUGCUUUGAGAGAAAAGCUACGAGUAAUACUAUGCUUUAAAAACUUACUCAUGCGGGUAUAUAUAUAUAUAUAUAUAUAUAUAUAUAUAUAUAUAUAUAUAUAUAUAUAUAUGUUUCACUGACGCGUGUUCACGAAUCACGAAGUUAAUAAGCUUAUAUAUAAGUUGGUUUUGUAAGCGUAGUGUUACUCAAAAAGUUUACAGGAUCUAUAUAUCUUCAUGAUAAUAUCGCAGCAAUGUGAUCGAUGAUCUUAACACAAUCUUGUUGUGAAAUAAUGCAGGCAACGUACUAUCGUUCUUGGUUAUCCUCGCACCAUUGUAAGCAACUCUUUUGCUUCAAACUCCUCUCUCCAAUCCGUACAUAAUAAACCUUACUCACAAAUGAAGAGAUGAGAUGACCAAACUAUAUGUUUUUCUCUCGUAUCUUCGCUUUCGCAGGCCGACGUUCUACAGGGUGUACAAGAAGAAGUCGACGGAGGGGUUCCACUCAACGCCCUACGUGGUGGCGCUGUUCAGCGCCAUGCUGUGGUUCUACUAUGCGCUGCUCACGACCGACGUGCUGCUGUUCACCAUCAACGCCCUCGGUAGCGUCAUCGAAUCGAUCUACCUCGUGAUGUACAUCGCUUACGCGCACAAGAAAGCCAGGGUACUUCCCCCUUAUUUCUCUCUCUCUCUCUAUUUUUUGCGCGCGUUUUUCUUUUUCUCUUUGUGUUUUACUGAGCUGAUCCUAAGAAACAAAAGUUUCUCACGUAAGAGUGCAAGGCCCCAUAAUAUGGAAGGGGAGAGAGACGCACAAUAAUUAAGGAUUCUCUUUCUCUCUCUUUUGUUAGUUACUUAAUGAACUUGACAACUCAAAGUUACUAGGUAUAUUUAUCAUUCAAACUCUCUUCAAAGAGCCUUUUUAGUGGUCCUCUCUGAUUCCACGUAUAUGCAUCGCUUUUGCGCUUUGCAAAUAAACUUCUAUCUCAUAAAGCAGAAGUUUUAAUUUAAAGCUCUUAAUUUGCUUUAGAAACAACGAAGCAUUUAGUAUCGUUUGUUUGUAGGCAUAAUAUUAGACACCGCAAACGAUUAAACAUAAAGAUUCCAUCAACUUUAUGAUCAAUGGUAAAAUAUUCUAUAAUGUUCUCCUAUUUCCUAAUAGAUAGAAUAGUUUUGCAUACAAAUAUUACAUUAGAGAGGAAUUUACAAAAUUAUUGGUACUUUUCAUAGCAUUACUCUUUGCAUUUAAGUCUUAGUUUUUUGGAGUUCAGAGGAUAAAAGUUCUCGCGCAUUAUUAACCACAAAACAACUUGUGAAAGUCUAAAUCACUCACCAUAGAGUAAUUAUAUAUAUACUAGAGAUAAAGGUUUCUUUUCUCUAUGAGAAAGUGAACAAAAGCAAAAUGGUGAAAUGACCAAGGAAAGCAUGCAUCUUAAAUGUGACUAAACACUCAUCACAAGAUCAAAUCCUCGUUUCUGUACCAAAAAUGGUCCCCUAAAUGGUACACAUAUAGUGCAAAUGUCACUUCUACAUUUCAAAGAAUCUCAGUACCAAACUCAAGAUAAGAUUCUUAAACUAUAUGAGACAUAUUGGAACAGAUUAUUUGAGACAAUAUUAAGAACUAUUCCACUUUUUGUAUCUCGAGCCGCAUUCGAGUACGGAUAUAUAUCUAAAACAGCUAAGUAUGUAACCUACUACAGGUACAGUCAAGUUCAGUAAUCAUGAUAAAUAAAAAGUUUAAGUGUGGGGUCUAAAUGAAAAGAUAUGUCCUACAAAUGCAUGGUAAACUUUUCUUUUGUAAACAGGGAGAAGAUAACAAAAGCAAUAGAGUUUGUCUCAAGAAACUAUUCGUAGAUUUUGGAUUUCUUUUUUUGGCAUUCGGAGGUAGUGAUUUACAGAUGGAAAAUUUGUAUGUAUUCUGGGAUCAGUUCACUCCAAGUUUAAUCAUGUCUCACAGGAUUUUAUGCAGCUUAAAUGUACGGAUAAUUUGAAUACAGUGAGAGAGGAUAAGAAACCCUGUAACACCAUGGGCAUUCACAGUUUUUGUGUCAUAUAAAUGGUUUUAAUGUCUAAUGUUAUAUGAAUACUCAACGACAGUGCGACAAAACUUCAACUAAGAAAACAGGGGAAAUUUCCCUCUUGAUAACAUGAAAUCAUCACUUCUUUUCUGCUAACUAUGUUUCUUCUACUUAUUUUUCUUUUUCUUUUUUGGCAGGCUUUCACAUUGAAGUUAAUAUUACUACUCGACGUGGGUUUCUACGGUUGUGUAGUUCUUAUCACCGUGCUAUUUUUGAGGGGACGGCUGAGAGUUAAAAUCAUGGGGUGGAUCUGCGCCUCCUUUGCCACCGCCGUCUUCAUAGCACCUCUGAGUAUCAUCGUAAGAACCUGCCGUUCGUCUAACCAUAUUUGUUCACUACAAGAGCAGCAAUUUUUUAAAAAAAUGAGCUUUAUAAAAUGGAGGGCAAGUUGAAUUAUCAUCUAAGACAAUGAGAGAAAUAAUUGAGAUCUUCUUAACUAGCAAACUAAACACAUGACAACAUGGAAAAGAGAAAUAACUCUAGAUUCAAGAAGAUUGAUAACAAUACAGACAAAUUAAUAUGCUACUGUGUUGCAGAGACAAGUGAUACGAACCAAAAGCGUCGAAUUCAUGCCGUUUACUCUGUCGUUAUUCCUCACUCUCAGUGCGGUCGCAUGGUUCUGCUACGGCCUCAUGCUGAAAGAUAGCUACAUCGCAGUAAGUUUCCAUAUAUAUGUAUAUUUAGGGUGUCACAGAAUACUUGUUAUAUCCUAUCAUUUAAGAAUUAUUUAUUUUUUAGUUUUUAGUAAAAAAAAAAAAAAAAAAAAAUUGAUACUAUCAUUAGAUUACGCAAUUUUUAUCUUGGCUAGUAGCUAACCAACAUGAUUCAAAUGUGAUUGAAUCAGCUUCCGAAUGUGGUCGGUGUCUUAUUCGGUUUGGCCCAGAUGCUUCUCUAUUUCAUCUACAUGAACGGAAAGAAGGAAACACCAGUAUCAGAAAUUACCGACCAGGACAAGAACCCCGCAACACUAGCAAACCCGAAUGCCGAUAUAGAGAUGAACAAGGAGAGCAUCGGAGUUACGACUCCGGAAGUCGAGAGUUCGAUGUCCGUGGCCGGAAAGAACGAGGCAUAGAGCUACCAAACUAACCUCCUCCUCCACCGCAAACUGACUGACAUUGCAGGAUGUUUUAAGCAGCAUAAGUUUUUUCUUUUUCUUUUUUUUUCCUUUUUAUGUUUCAUUAAGUGCCUUCUAGCUGUGUUCUUGUGUCAGUGACAAGUAGUGAAAAUAAGUAACUCCGUAGAACUCCUGCAUGUCUAGAGCACAAAUAAGGAAUGUAAUUUGUAUCCGCAUGAUAUUUGUGAGCAAUUUAAAUCAGAAUUCUAUACAUUCGGAGAUGCAUGCGAUAUAUGGAGAAAGAUCGAUAUGCAGAUUUUCAACUCACAUCUUAAUCUAGAAUGAAAAAAAGGGGUUUCGCAUAAAUUCUGAUUCUGGCAAAUUCGAUUUUGAUUCCAAACUCAAGAAAACAAGGAACAAAACAGCUUGCAUUUUUAUUAUGAUUCCAAAUAAUCGGACUCUAAUUGACGAGAACACGACUUAAAUUUACUACAAUAAGUUGCUGCUGCCCCUACGCGCGCUGAUACUGAUACCGAAUGAAUCUGGCAAUUAAACAGAAGCAAAAUUUUGACCUGAACAACAAGUAAUUCCAUAGAAGAUAAAAUAAAGUGCACAUUACAAAUGCUGUUUUGUCCUUGCCAACCUCUUUAAACUAAACAAACUACACUAAUUAAUCUUGCACAGACGAAAUUAAUCAGUAAACUUUGUACUAUAGGAAUUACUGAACAAAUCAUGAGAAUCCUAAUUCGAUUAAAUUGCGACACCCCAAUUUUUCUUGAUAAGAAUCAUUCCAUAUGCCAUUCAUGUUUUUCGUUACGUAGUUUUAGUCGAUUAAAUUGAAAAUUUGGUAAAAUUAAUCGACAAUUCGCUCUAAUUUCACAAUUCUGAAUAUUUUGAACGCAAGGAAAUGCCGAAAAGGACAAGUAACUAAAAAACACUAAUUCAAUUGACCAAGUAACUCACAUCAAAACAUAUAUAAGUUGAGGAAGUGCAAAAACAAUAAUAAUAAUAAUAAUAAUAAUAAUAAUAAUAAAGUUUAGAAGCCUAUUUCAAAACCGUGCAUAGUUGAGGGGUCUACAUUCAUUUUUAGCUAAAUAUUUAUAUUAGUUGCUUGCACUGUAGACGGUUCUGAUUCGACUAUCUAAGCUUUAAAAACUUGAUUUUAGCACCCAACAUUUUAAUUUAUUGGAUUUACGUCAUUUGAGGACUCUUAUGAUGCAAAAUUUAAGCUGAUUAUUUAUUUUCAUAAAUUUAUAGUUGAUAAAUUGCAUAAAAUAUGCUGAUUAAGCCUGUAAAGAUAAACGACGCAUUCAAUUUUUGAAGUUAAAAUGUUAUGAACAAAAUUCAACAAAAUUCUCAACUAAAGCAAGCAGAAUUAAAUUACUCAAUUCGAGAAAAUCCAAAAGUUGAAGGUACAUCAAUCAAAAAAUUCAAAGUUGUGGGACCAAUUUCAGAAUAGCAUAAAACUCUUUCCCAUUCGAGAAAGAGAAACCCUAGAGGAGGGAGAACACAUCGAGCGAUCUCAAAGUCCAACAAAAAAUUUAAAAAAUAAAAUAAAAUAAACAUUCACGAUCAAGAGCAAUCAAAGGAAAGAAACAACCAAUCGGAUCCAAACAAAUUACUGGACCAAAAAAAAAAAUGCAAUUGAAAAAAUUAAAAUAAAAAAGAUGAGGAAUUGUACGGACGAACCAUGUGAUCCACGUGGAGAAGAGAUCUGAGGAUAUUUUUAGCAAUAAUAAUAAAUAAAUAUUAAAUUAAAAUUAAGCAAUCGCUUGCUUAGAGAAGAGGAAAAAGAAAAAAAAAAAUUUGAAAGAGAGAGAGAGAGAGAGACAGGGGAUGUGGGGGAAAGCGAUUUUGUAUCACACACGCGAGAUGGUAAAAAUGAUGUCGAACCCCUCAACUAUCCCUUCUUCUGAAACCGCCCUUUUUCCUUUUAUUUUGUUUGAGUGGCUAAAAUUGCACUCCUGGUCCUCACAUUAUGAAGCGAGUGACACUUUGGUCCUCAAAUUUUUAUAAUUCAAAAUAAUGAUGUGACAGUAUCGUGAUUGAUGAUAUAGUAAUAGUUAAGAUAUUAUAUUACCGUCAUUCUAGUAACUGUUUGUUUCACCGAAUUUACAGUUCUUAGUAAAAUAGAUUUCGAGUAAAUUAGAGUUUAUGUAAAAUUACUUUUCUUGCACUAUUUGUUUGUAUGGUUGUGGAACUGAAGUUUUUUUAGUUUUGUUAUUUAUUUGGCAGAAAGUAAAUAAUAUAAAAGCUGAAAGUGUAAGAAAAAGUCUAUAAUUUAAAUUUCAAAAAGAAAAUUUUUAUUUUUAUUUACAUUUGUAAUUCAAAAUGACCUCAAGUGGACCAUUUCCACCCUAGCCAUGGAUCUCCAUUUCUUUUGUAGUUUCCCUACAAUUAAAAGUAAAAAAUUAUUUUUAAUUUCACUGCUUUAAAAAUAUAAGAGAAAUGUAUAUAGACUUUAGUGAACUAUCAAUUAAAUUAUUUUGAAGGGUAAGAUGUUUCGUAGUCUCAAACUAGUAAAUUAUUUUGAAGGGUACAAUGUUUUUUUAGUCUUAUGCUAACUUAGUCAUGUGACUUGGAUUUUUCUGAACAUUUUAUGCUUAAUUUUUUAUUAACACAUCUCUAUUUACUCACUUCUGUUUAAAUAUGCUAAAACAUUUCAAAGAUGAAAUACAUUAUUCUAAUAAAUUGUAAUUAUCAAAACCUACCAAGAGACUAGAAACAAACACUCCUAAUUUAGGAUCACAAGAUAUAUUUUAAUAAUACUUUAUUUAUUGGUAAAAAAAACUUAAUAGUCCCAUAUUGGAUUAUGUGGGAGACUUUAAGACUUCGUUUGGAAUUGCGGGGAGAUUGCGUUACGUGCGGUGAAAAAGUACGUUGGAAAAAUACUCUGUUUGUUUCCGUACGUAAUAUUGCAUUCCGCAUAUUUUCUACGGUCCAACCGGAGAACGUAGAAGCAUACUCCUAUAUGCUUUUUCCUCAACUUUAUUUUAUCUAACAACGUUUGAUAGGCAUCAAUACCAAACUAAGCCAAAGUGCUUUAUACAUGGCAAGAAUUAAUAAUUGGGGUUAAUCAUUUUGGGCCAAUGGUUUGGGCCUAAUGCUAGUGGGCCGGAUAGUUAUAGUUGAUAUCAGAAACAAUUCAGUGAGAUGUGUAAGAUUGGGCUAACUAGAAUGCCGAGCAUUUUGGACCGAUGGUUUAAUCGGGUGCAUCGAGUAAUCAGUGCUAGUAGGCUCAACUCUUUAUUUUCUUAUAAAUUAUUCGAUGUGUGGUUAUUUACGUGUGAGCUCGCACCAACAGACGAUACUUGCUGUAUUUAGUAGAUAAAGAGUGUGAUCGAUUGUCGAGAACUUCCCAAUAGAUGAUGCUUGUUGUAUUUAGUAGAUAAAGAGUGUGAUCGAUUGUCGAGAACUGCAUAUACUGUACUUGGCUUUCAAAGUAAGUUUUUGGAAAUAAGAUAAAACAUUUUGCAAAUGAAAAUAUGCUAUCUUACCGAAUUAUGAAUAUCGAGAUCUUGAUUUCAAAAAGUAAAAAAUCAAACUUUUUACUUCCAAUCCAUAUAUUUUGGCAUGUUAAUAUAUUUUACUUACGAAGUAAUUUCCAUUACUCUGAAAAAAUAACUUAAAAUCCAAAUGUGGCAUAUCAUUCAAGACAUUUAAUCACAACUUUCAUCUACUAAAUAUUAUAAAUUUCUUAAUUAAAUUAAACAGAUAUACUAAAUAAAAUAUCCCGGCAUCCAAAUUAAAUCACAGUAAAUAAAUUAGGGAUAAUAUCUAAUAUAAAUAUACCCAUCAAAACUUUUGAAAUAUUUUAUAUACACCUAUUUAUCUUUUGAUUUCAAAUAUGUCUCUCAUAUGUUUCUUCAUUAUUCAAAAAUAAUCCCACUAGUGUUAAAUUUCUACUAAAGUUAAAUUUGGUGACGGUAUCCAUAAAUUCAUCUCCGAUUAAGCCCGGGUUAAAUUUUUACUAUAGUUAAAAAAAAAAUCAAAAUACCUCUUUUAUCCCUAACACAAGGAUAAAUAAAAAAAAUUGGUGACGGUAAAAGAAUAUAUUUAAAAAGUCAAAAAAUCAAAAUAUUUCUUUUGCCUCUAACUUAGAGUAAAUAAAACAAAUUGAUGGCCGUACAUAAAAUGAUAUAUUUAUAAGGGCAAAUAGUAGUUUUAUAAACAUAACGACUGUCCCUGAUAUAUAGUUCACUAAUAGAAUUUAACUCCAGAUAUAUAUUUGAAAUAACUUGAAACGUUGAAAAAAACAUUAUUAAUAUCAGCCUUCUAAAGAUGAAAAGGAAAAGUGCUUCCCCCAAAGGCAGUACACAACCAUACAGUAGUAGUGUUAGCCACAACAGUGGCCCAUAUAUGAUUUAGCAAAAGUAUAUUCCGCCGAGGACCCGUCACCUCCUUCGAAAAAUUCUAGAAUACAACGGGUAUAUUAGUGACGUGGCAUAACAAACCAAUCAAAUAUAUCCUUUUAAGGGUAUAUGUCCCAUUAUGAUUAUAAAAAAAUAUUUUUAUUGUAUUUUUAUUUGAAAAGAAAGAAUAUGAUUGGCUUAUUAUUGAUGACGUGGUGCAAGUGUGACAGUGUAGAAUUCCUCCACCUCCCUCUCCCCGCCACAAAUACCCAUCAAUAAUUUUUUACAACUGAAAAUAAAAAUUCUAUAAAAAGUGGUGAUAUAGCACUAAAAUUUUCGAUCAGAAAUAUUAAUCUUAUUGUAGAUAGUAUAAAGAAUUUUGUAUCAAAAUAUUAUCUGAUUUGAAUACUUCUACACCGUUAAACUUGAAAACGGCAGACAUCAACUAAUAAAAAUUAUUGAUUUUGAACCCUUUCGAUCGCUAGGUAAAUGAUAUCAAAAAAUCGCAAAAAAUUAUUUUUUAGAAACUUCAAAUACGCUAGAUCAAGUCUAACGGAGCCGAUCGUCGAUUCGAAAAUUUUAUCAUCGAAAACGGCUCAGGAGCACGAAGGCCUCCGUGCUCCUAAGAACACAGCAGUCUUGCUAUAUAUAUAUAUAUAUAUAUAUAGAGAGAGAGAGAGAGAGAGAGAGAGAGAGUUGAGCUGGAAUGCUAUCGGAAGUAUAGCGAAUCUAGUACUUCCAACUUUUUGGUCCUUAGAUCAAUCUCUUUGAUCAUUUCUAACAUUUGGAUUAAUACUAUUACCAUAUGGGGACCACUCAACUCUAAGAUACCGUUUGGUAUGGGUAUAAAGAGGGGAUAAGGGGGUUGUCCCCCUCUUUAUACCCAAACACUCAUGGCUAUGGGUGGGAACAGCUGUUCCCACCCAUCGCAUAGAAUUACAGGGGUGGAAAACGAACAACCGUUCCACCCCUAAGAAUUUUAAAAAAAAAUCAAAUUUAAAAAAAUUAAAUUUAAAAUUUUAUAAUUAAAUUAAGUUAAAUUAAAUUAAAAAUCUCAAUAUUUUAACUUAUAAUUUUAUGUUUUUAAAUUUAAUUUGAUUUAAAAUUUAUAUUUUAAAUUUUAAAUUUUAAAUUUUAAAAUGUUAAAUUUUUAAACUUUAACUUUAAUUUUAAUUUUAAAUUUUAAAUUUUAAAUUUAAAUUUAGAUUUUAAAAAUUAAAAUUUAAAUUUUGAAUUUUGAAUUUUAAUUUAAAUUUUGAAUUUUUAAAUUUUAAAUUAAAUGUUGAAUUUUAAAUUUAAAUUUAAAAUUUGCUAUUUUAAAUUUUAAUUUAAAAUUUGCUAUUUUAAAUUUUAAUUUUGGAUUUUAAAAAUUUUAAAAUUGCUAUUUAAAAGUUAAAAUUUUAAAUUAAAAAAUAUAAAUAAGAAAUUUAUAAAAAUUAAAUUCAACGGCUAAUAAAGAGCAUAUCAUUAUUUUUUUAUUUAUGGCUACUCACUAUUCUCUUUAUCCAUCAUAUCUAUCCAAAACGCUACUUUUCUUAUUCCCAAAAUCAACCUAUUUUUCAUCCAAAAUACAAAAUUUAUCUAGUUCUCGCUUGUACACAGAUUUAUAUCUAUCCCUAAAUACAGUUCUUACUACAUACACCCCGAACCAAACGACAAGUCUAGGAGCAUCAACCUCUAGGAGGGAUGCAUCAUCCCAACUGUACAUUCUUGAUCCAUGGUCAAAAAAUCUGAAACAACAAAUCCUCUAUUACUUCUAAUAGUAUGGUAAUCUAAACUUUAUAUAAUAUAUUAUAUAUAUAUAUAAUAUAGAGAGAGAGAAGAGAGAGAGAGAGAGAAGAGAGAGAGGUUGAGCUGAAAUACUAUCGAUAGCAAAGACGGAUCGCUGUCAUCCAUUUAUUUUUGAUGAUGGAGCCUUUAAAUCCAUGAUCGGUAUCGUUGAAUAUUGAUCUAUACCACUAGAAACUCAAAAUCAAUUUUAUGCUUUCCAUAUUGUUCUCUUGUACAUCAAGUGGACACAAAAUGAAUGGCUGAAAAUAGAUAUAUCCUUUAAAAAGUGAUAAUAGAAUACUUGUAAUUAAGAUCGAGAGUAUAAAAUCUUGUUCUAAAUAGUUUAAAUAAUUUCUAACCAAAAUUCAAUUGAUUUGGAUACCUUUAUAUACCGUUAAAUGAGAAAUGUCUCAUAUCUACCGUUAAAAUUAAAAAUUUAAUUUGAAACCAUUUGAUCAUUAAUCAAUAAUGUCUAAAAAAUUUGAAUUUUGUUUUCUAAAUGCUUCAAAUGAUAUAGAUCAUGUUCAAUACUGUCAAUCGUCGAUUUAAAGCCCAUCAUCGAAACAAAUGAGUGUAACGGAGCCGUUUGCUACCAAUAGUACGUAUUCCAGCUCAACUAUAUAUAUAUAUAUAUAUAUAUAUAUAAUAUAUAUAUAUUUAUAAAUAAAUAAUUAUAUAUAUAGUGUGUAGAGCUAACUGUACUAUCAGAAAUAUAGAUGAUUUGAUACUUUGACUUUUAAACCUUGGAUCAAGAAUUGUACGAUUGGGAUGAUUGUAGUCUCCCUUAAAGUUGAAUAGUACCCCCCUAAGGUUGAGUGGUCCCACAGGGUAAUAGUAUUAAUCUAAAGGUUAGAAAUAAUCAAAGAGGUUGAUUAAGAGCCAAAAGGUCGGAAGGUUAGACAAGCACUUGGUAUUUUAACGGUAAAAAUUUAUAAGCACAUGUGUUGUGUGCUUGUACAAGCACCAUAGCCGGACUAUAUAUAUAUAUAUAUAAUAAAUACUAUAUAUAUAAUAAUAUAUAUAUAUAUAUAUAUAUAUAUGGAGAGAAAGAGUCAACCUUUUGGUUGAAUAGUAUAAUACUAUAUAGUAGUCUGACUCUCUCUCUCCAUAUAUAUAUAUUUAUAUAUAUAUAGAGUCCGGCUAUGGUGCUUGUACAAGCACCAAGCAAUUGGUGCUUGUAAAUUUUUUACUGUUAGAGCCUUUGAUCAUUUUUAUCCGUUAGAUUAUAUAUAUAUAACCUUUGAUCAUUUUUAUCCGUUAGAUUAUACUAUUCAACCAACCACCCACUCAACCCUAGGGGACCCACAUCAUCCUAACCGCACAUCUCUUAAUCCAAGGGCCAAAAACUUACAAGCACCAAUAAUUUGGUAGUUUUAAAAGUACAGGAGCUCAAUUCUAUAUAUAUAUAUAUAUAUAUAUACUCUUAUAUGAAUCUCCAAUAGGUAAAGCUAAUGUGGCACAACAUCAUUUUUUUGGAUCUUUUUUUUUAAAAAAAAAACAGUAAUAGAAAUAAAGCAAAUAAUCUAUACUCUUGUAUGAAUCUCCAAUAGGUAAAGCUGAUGUGGCACAACAUUAUUUUUUUGGAUUUUUUUAUAAAAAAAACAGCAAUAGAAAUAAAGCAAAUAAUAACUAAUUAAUAAUAUAGUAUUAUUUAGGCCAAUUUGCAUAAAAAAUUUAUUUAUUUUGGGCUUUUGCAAAAUCGGGCCACCUUUUUUAUUUUUGCAGAUUCGGUUCGCUUUUUCAGCAAACUAACCAAAAUACCCUUAUACCUUUUUCUCUCUCCUCUUUUUUUUUCUCUCGUUCUUUUUUUCUUUCUCUUCCGAGAGAGCGGCGAAGGCGGAGGAGGCGGCUUGUCCGGCGCAUCUUUACCCUCGCCCGCACACCCCCGCACCUUCAUCGUCUCUGACCCUGCCGAGGCCGCACCACGACUUUUUUUUUUUCCUCUCCGACUCUCCUCCACCGUUUCCGACGACGACGCCUCUCUCGCUCUUCCCGUCCUUCUUGUCCUCUCCCUCUCCUUCCUUCUCUGCCGCCUCCGACGACGACGCAUCUUCACCGGCGUCGACAAUAUGCCGGCGCAGCCUUACCCUCGCCUGCACACCCCUUCACCUUUCUCGCCUCCGACACUGCCGAGGCCACGUCACGACUCUUUUUUUUUUUCCUCUUCGACUCUCUUCCACUGUUUCAGACGACGACGCCUCUCUUGCCCUCCUCCGCCCUUCUCGUCGUCUCCCCCUCCCUCCUCCUCUACCGCCUCCGACGACGAUGCAUCUCGGCGCCGGCGUCGACACCGUGGAGAUUACUGCGGCGUUGCAGCCUCGGAGCAGGGGGUCCUUGGCAGCAUCGUCGCGGCGCCGUAGCCGUUGGCAGAGAAGGGUGACCAAAAAAAUUAUAAAAGAAGCAAGAAAAAAAAAUAAAGAUAAAAAAUUAUAGAAAAAGAAGGAUGAAGAUAAAAUUGCAUCGUUAACUGAAAAAAAAAAUUAUAAGUUGUAUUACUUAAAAUGUAAAUUGCAGCUUUAAAAUUAAAAUUACACUUUUUAAACAAGAAUUACACUCUUUGGGAGAUAUUUACACUGUUUCUCCUCUUAUUGCACUAUUUCAGAUGUAAACUACAUCCAUUAAGAUGAAAGUUACACUCUUUAAACGAAAAUUACACUGUUUUUCCUCUUGUUGCACUAUUUCUCCUCUUGUUACACUAUUUUUUAUCUUAAACUGUACUCUUUAAGAGAUAUUUAUACUGUUUCUCCUCUUGUUGCACUGUUUCUUUUCUUGUUGCACCCUUUAAGAUGAGAAACAGUGUAACAAGAGAAGAAAUAGUGCAACAAUAGAAAAAACAGUGUAACAAGAGAAGAAACAGUAUAAAUAUCUCUUAAAUGAGUGCAGUUUAAGAUAAAAAAUAUGUAAUAAGAGGAGAAACAGUGCAACUUUCGUUUAAAGAGUGUAAUUUUUAUCUUAGUGGGUGCAGUUUAUAUCUGAAAGAGUGCAAUAAGAGGAGAAACAGUAUAAAUAUCUCCCAAAGUGUGUAAUUUUCGUUCAAAGAGUGGAAUUGUUAUCUUAAAGUUGUAUUUUACAUCUUAAGUAGUACAACUUAUAAUUUUUUUUUUGCAAUUAACGAUACAAUUUUAUCUUCAUCCUUCUUUUUCUAUACUUUUUAAUUUUUAUUUUUUUUUCUUGCUUCUUUUAUAAUUUUUUUUUGUCACCCCUCUCCACGGCGCCGGCGACGAUGCCGCUAAGAACCCUCUGCUCUGAGGCUGCAGCGCCGCAGUGACCUCCACGGUGUCGGUGCCGGCGUCGGCGCUGGCAAAGAUGCAUCGUCGUUGGAGGCGGCAGAGGAGGGAGAGGGAGAGGACGAGAAGGGCGGAGAAGGGCAAGAAAAGCGUCGUCGUCGGAGACAGUGGAGGAGAGUCGAAGAGGAAAAAAAAAAAAGAGUCGUGACGCGGCCUCGGCAGGGUCGGAGGUGAGAAAGGUGCAGGGGUGUGCAGGCGAGGGUAAGGAUGCGCCGGCAUAUUUUCGGCGCCGGCGAAGAUGCGUUGUCGUCGGAGGCGACAGAAAAGGAAGGAGAGGGAGGGGAUGAGAAGGACGGGGAAGGGCGAGAGAGGCGUCAUCGUCGGAAAUGGUGGAGGAGAGUCGGAGAGGAAAAAAAAAAAAAAGUCGCGGUGCGGCCUCGGCAAGGUCUGAGACGAGGAAGGUGCGGGGGUGUGCGGGCGAGGUCGCUCUCUGGGAAGAGAAAGAAAAAAAAAACGAGAGAAAAAUAAAAGAGGAAAGAGAAAAAGGUGUAAGGGUAUUUUGGUCAGUUUGCUGAAAAAGCGGACCGAAUCUGCAGAAAUGAAAAAGGUGGUCCGGUUUUGCAAAAGCCCAAAAUAAGUGAAUUUUUUAUGCAAAUUGGCCUAUUAUUUAUUACUGUAUUAAUUAAUAGUUAAUAGUUAUUCCCUAUAAAUUAAUUUUGGAAGUUUAAUGGGUUGGCCAAUUACUUACUAAAUUUUCAUAUUUUUUCUUAUAAAGUUAACAUGCCUUUUCAAAUUACUGUAUCUUUUCUCAUUAAAGUCUUCCUAAUUAAUUCUUAAUUUAAUGCUACACCUUUAUUUUAUUAGACUUCUGCAAAAAGAAGUUGAAAAGGGCCCCUUUAUUUUAUAACUGUCUUCAUUUGUAAAUUUUCUUCCAUAUAAAUUUUUAAGUUUUAUAAAUAAAAUUUAUUAGAUAAAAAAUACUAACUUUGGACAAGUUUUAGAGAAUCAAAAUUUUAAUUAUGUACUUUUUAUACUUUAUAAGGAUAAUUUAAGCAGAAAACUAUCAUAACUUUUAAAAAUAUUUAUAAAAAAAAUUAAUUUAGAGAUAAUUAUUUGUAUGUCUCUCUAAAGUUUUAAUUAUUUUACUUGGCUCCCCGAACUCUUGAAAUUUAUAAAUUUGUCAUCCUUUAUUAGUUGACAUAUUAAUAUUAAUUUUUUCAGUACAUAUGAAUCUCUCUUCAUCUUCUCUUCUUUUUUGUUUUUGGAUUAGUAGUGAUAAAUUUUUUUAUGCAUAUUUUGUAUUUAAUUUUUUAAAAAAAAUUUCUAUCCGCCGCAUCGCACGGAGUCUACACUAGUAUAUUAGAGCUAGGCUCCUAUGCUUUCGAAAGUACGGAGGCCUCCGUGCUUAUAAGUUGUUUUCAAUGAUGGGAUGUCCGAUUCGGCGAUCGGUUCCGUUAAACAUAAUCUAUGCUAUUGGAAUUAUCUAGAAACCAAAUUUCAUAAUUUUUUGACUUCGUUUGCCUAGUGAAUGAGUAACCUCAAAAUGAACAGCUGAAAAUAAAAAUCUCAUAAAAAAUAGUGAUAAAUGACUUAAAUUUCAAAUCGGAAGCACUGUUCUUUCUCUUGAUGUUAAAUAGAAUUUUCUAUUAAAGUUUCAUAUAAUUUGGAUACUUUUACACUGUUGAACUUAAAAACGUGCCACAUCGGCUGUUAAAAUAGUUAUUUUUAAGACUCUAUGAUCGCUUCAUAAAUGAAGUCGAAAAAUUAUAAAAUUUGGUUUCUAGAUAGUUCCAAUAGCAUAGAUUAUGCCUAAUGGAGCCGAUCGUCGAAUCGGAUGUCCUAUCAUCAAAAACAACUUGUAAGUACGGAGGCCUCCGUACUUUCGAAAGCAUGGGAGACGUACUCUCUCUCUCUCUCUCUCUCUCUCUC
rnacentral:lncRNA from 1 species